rnacentral:lncRNA from 1 species
AAGAUACUGUUAGACCUCUACAACGAUAGGUUCAAGGAGAGCUUUUGUAGUUAAUUUUCUAAAAUAAUUAUCAUCUCCAAAUAUAUUUAUCUAGCUAGAUAGUUAUUGUAUAUCUUUACAUGCAUUUGCCUCCUGGAGUUAAUACACUAACCCACGUACACUUGAUCGAUGUUGAUAAGAAUCAAGUACCCCACCAAGAAAUUCCGAUCCCUAUUCAUAUCCUCUGAGACUCCGAGGAAUCCAACCAUCAGAGACAUACAUAUGUGCUCAAGAUAUUUUAGAUUCGUGUUAUAUAUUUAUGCUUAAACCUCAUAACUUCCAUUCAUGACCUCUUUUACUCCUAGCAGCUAGGAUAAUCCAAAGAAAUGGGUAGGAGUUUCUUUUGCUUUCGGAAAUUUUCAAGCCCUCGGAGAUUGCCUAAGCAAGACUCCAAUGAUGAUCGAAGUAUUAGCUUGACUACAUCGAUUGUCGAGUUCAUGAAGCCAUCAUGCUUAUGGAGAGAAAAGAGCAUGAUGUGGAAAAGGUUGGUGCAGCAGCCCAAAAGGCAGAAGAAGCAGCAGAAGGUGAAAAUGGUGAAGGAGCUCACUCUAGAGGAGUGGUUCUCAACAUCGUCGCCAUGCAGAGAUGAAUCAGCUGAACACAACACCUGGGUUUUUCCCUUUUCUCAUGGUGAUAAUGAUGAUGAUGCUAAGUUUAAUUCUAGGCACAGUUUUUCUCAGCAGAGACUGUUGAUCGAAGUGGUUGACUGUGGAAGAAGAAGAAGUGAUGUUUCUUGUUUGAGCUCAAGGAAGAGUUCGAAGGUGAAGAAAAGGGUCAGCUUUAGAUUACCAGAAGAGGCUGAUAUAUUCAUUUUCUGUUCACCAAAUGCAGAUUCUGAAGAAUGAAUCAAGUUUAUGAUAAUAUUGUAUGCAUUUUUGUAAAGUGAUCAUUGGUAACAAGUUAGUAACAAAAUAAAGAAGUUGCUGCAUUUAUGAAUGAAUUAGUAACAAGUUCUUAUUGGCUUUUUCUUUUUCUUUUUGGUCUGGAAACUAGUUUUCAACUUUAAAGGAGACCAACUAUUGAGGAUUAGUUUCUAUAAAUAAUUGAGGUUUACUUUGCAACUGAAAUAACUAACAUUACUAACUAGCAGCCCAUCACUUUGUUUCCAAAAAUUAAAUUAAAGUUGAGAAUCUAUGAACAGUCUUUUGUUCAAAUGGGAUUUCGAUCAAAAGCUGUUUGGUACAACAGAAGCUAGCUUUAAUAUAUGGAAGCAAAGUGAAUGUAGACUCCUCAUUCAUACAACUAGCUAUGCUAUAUCAUAUGAUGCAGAGAACAUUAUUAUAAUUAGCUAUCAAGAAGCCAAAGUGGAAAGGGUUACGUACUGAUUUUAUUUACCCAAUUGUUUUCCAUCAGAGGAACACACAGUCAUGAAGCUCAUCAAGUAUAUUAAUAAUACUGCAGUCAAUAAUAGCACAAACAAAAACACAAAAGAGGGAGACAAAGAAGAGGAUUGAUCGAUGUUGAGCCAACCCUCUUUCUCUUCUUCUUUCUCUCGUGUUAUCUACUUCCUUCUACCAACUAGGCAAUAUGAAGAACAUAAAACUAUUUGUACCACAUUCGUAAAUCAUAUUGUAGACAAUAACAUGAAUUACUUGAAUCAUUACUUAUAAAAAAGAGAGUGAAGCCACGAUGUGAGAGAAUUGUAGUUUCUCUAGCAGCUCUUUGGCAUGUGAUGCGCCUCUCUUUUCUACUCGCAGGAAUAGUUCAUUGCUGAGUUUCUCGCCGAUGUGUGCAUCAACGAGCACUCCAGCCACACUCCGGCAGCUGUUGGCGAGGGCUCGACCUACUUCGGCUGCAUCAUCGGGCUGGUUCACAACAAGGGGGCUCCCUCCUUUGAAGAUCUCAAGCUUGUUAAUGGUGAAUGACCCGUCCGCUUCUACAACCUCCUUGAAGUCUUGCAAACUUGAUGCAUACACCGGAAUGUUGAAAGUGUCACGUUUCUCACUAGUGAUAAGACCCUGCAGUACAAAGUAGUAUCUUAAUUUCUUGUUUAAUCUGAGAUAAAAGCCAAGUACUAUUUAGUGCAUGGAAAGUCAGUCGCACAGAAAGACCAAGAAGAUCUUGCAUCAAUAAUCAACUCUACCACUCGGUUUAGAAUGGUACUUUGAUUGAUGGAGAGGACUUUAUGAACUGAUGACUCUUUGCUAAGCUGAAGGCAGUUUUCUUUGAAUUUUUUUUUUAUCCAUGAUGAACAUUGAUCCUUUUGUCUUUCAUAUCAGACAUUAGCGAUUAUAUGGGCCAUCCACGAGCCAAUGUUGUUAUAAUUUCACUUGCCGACAGUAGUAGUAAUCAAUAAAUUGAGGGGCUUGAUCAACUUUAGUGAGAGCAUCCGACGGCUAGAAUUAGUGUAACUCAAUCAUGACCAGUGAAAACUCAUAAUUAGGUCUUGUGAAAUCAAUAACACCUAAACCUUGCAUAUAUCUAUCUUCCCUAUCGAACUAUCAAAGUCAUUAUGAAACCCAACCAUCCUUCUCGUAUAAAAAAGAAAAAGAAAAAAAAAGACAUCGUUCCUUCUUGCUCACUAAGAAGAAAGAGAUGAAAAACGACAUUCCGAAAAAUACUAUGACGUUCCGGAAUACUGUUCUUUACGCAUUCAAUCAUUAAAUUUAAGAUUUAACGAAGAUUACAAAAAGUCGUGAAUGAAACUCAAACAACUACCAAGUCGACUCAAAACUUUAGGGUUCUCGAUGAAUGCAGAUGGGGUGUGCUUGCUUUUGGUCUGCCAAGAAGCAGAAGGUAAUGAAAACUACCUAGUCAUAGGUCUAUGCAUGACAUAUGUACAGUGCCAGUUAGUUAUCAACACACUAUGCUAUAUAGCUUUGAGAUCGAGUAAUGAAGUACCUCUUGGAGAAGAUCGUCCCAGGCAUCCUGGAAGUGGGUCCCGAAGAGAAUGCCCGGACCACCCUGGUCGGUGGGGUCGACGGAGGUCCUGCCGAGGCAAACAAGGAACAUGGAGCCACCUUUCUUCAUCUCCUUUGAUCUUGCUAGCAGGAAGCUUGCUAGGUCUGUCUGAUACUGCUUCUUAUAAGCCUUGGCCGUGCACUCCUCCGCGCCGUGGAUGAACACCCUCCCUUUGUUGUACGCCGCCGAUCGCUUGUCCACCACACUCUCCGGCACCUGUAUAUGUAUCACACAUACGUAUUUAUAUACGUACAUAGAUAGUAUAGUUAGAUUUUGACUACUCGUGACACACCAGAACAAAGCAUGCAUAACAGCAUAAAGUAGCUAGUAAGAUCACUCUCAUGAGCUAUAUAUCUUGUGUCUAAAAUUCUUCAUGAAAACCAGCAGGCUCACAGUACUUUUGUUUGAUCAUUUUUGGUCCAGCCCGGCCACUUGGCUUUAUUGCCUCGACCAAAUGCAGUGAGUCUUUUUCAGGACAACUCGAAAUUUGUAUACUUGUCUUGGAGAAAUAGGAAAGGAUUGCUUUAGUCAUGCUUGAAAGUUGAAAGUUGGAAGGAAUGAUUAUGUGAUUUAAGAACCCUAAUUCAUGUACCAUUAUAUAAUUCCAAGCUUAGUUACUGAGUUGAUUAGCUAAUCCAACUAGGAGAUUUGCAAACAACGUACAGUAAGAACAGGUAAAUCAUAAUAUUACCAUGCUAUGAAAGUAAUAUAAUUAAAUUUGUACAAAUUGACUGAGGGAUAUAAAUAAUGUGUCUGUUUCAAAACAAUUAUCACUGUCUUUUACGAACUUAGCUACUUUCUUCCAACUCGAAGACCAGAAUUUUUGGCAGUUUACUUUUGACCUACUCAAAGCCGGGUAUAGAAAACAGAUGUUAAAUAUAGGAAAUGGAUAAUACAUUUGUCUACUUUCUUUUGCUUAAAAUGCGGCAUAUUCAAAUGCUGUCAGAUCCUCGGAAAUAUUUUAUCGGUUUCAUAUUCAUGUCAUCACCAACCUAGAAUUUUGUAGUAGGUUAUAUUUUAAAUUACAGUAAAAAAAUGAUAAAGCAACUGACCAGAAUGAACAAUAUUCACCUGAGAAAGCCAAUGCAGGGAAAACGCCGAGUGAAAGAGGUCAAUGGACCUGGACGGGAAAAGCCUCCGGUAAAAGGAACCCGGAACUCCUGCCGCAAAGUACGAGCGGUGGUUAUCGGCGGCGAGGCACUCCUCCAUGCUCCCAGCUCCGUAGUUGGCCAGAGGAGGAAGGAGCUGGAAGAGAGUGUUGAAAUCGUUGCUAGGAAGGUCGGAGAAAAACGCAGAGAACUCCGGCGGGUCAAUUCCGGAGGCCUCGUAACGCUUGGUAAUGUGCUUGAUGAUCACAUCAACGAUGUAAAUGGUGUUGCUUCCGCUGGAGCAUCCCAAGUCCACAACCACAAAGGGAACAUCGGGAGAACUCAACUGAACACUGUCUAGGGUUUCUUUCAGAAGAUGAAGCAUAGAUCUUGCAUGUAUGGCCUGAAAAUGAUUUAGAAACACAAUAAGAACAUAAACUAAAUCAAACAACAAAACGAUUUAGUGCUUGAUGGUGAAUAGUAAAUUAGUAAUGUCAAACUGGUCCAACCUGGGCUUGGGAAUUGUUGGCAUAGCUGGCUUCUCCUUUGCCUCCUUUCAUGCUAAAAAUCCUCUCAAGUUUUACGUUAGAGACUACGACAUUGUCUCCCUUUGGAGCCAUUUGAAUAGUAUGAUCAGAAAGAGAGAAAGAAACUUGGGUGAGAAUAUGAUUAAUUUGUACCGAGAGGUUUGAAGGGGGAAGUGAGAAAAGGGCGAGUAUAUAUAGAGGGAGAGGGGGAGAGAGAGAGAAGGGUAAAUGUAUGUUUUUGAGAAGAGUGACAAUGAAAUUAUGAAACACUGCAUAUAAUUUUAGGAGUGAUAUGAUGGGGAGCUAGCUCUUUAAUUGUGUUCCCUAAAGAAUUUUCCAUGUGCACCAAGUUGGAGUUGAUGUGACUUGCCUCUUUAAAUUUACUCAAAAAUUUAUAGGUGCUACUUAGUAGUGUAUAUAUACUCAUAGGUUUAUACACACAUUUCCAAUUCCACUAGUAUUAUUGUCGAAUACUAAAACGAAAUUCUGACGACAAAUUAAACUAUUAAGGCAUGAGGGUUGUGUUUUUAUGGCUACUAUGUUUGCUUUUAUAAUAAAACGAUGACAUACCAGUAUCAUUUAAAUGAUAAAAGACAUAUUUUAGACUUAGAGAAUAUGAAGCGUCCGUAUUUAAUAAUUUCAUUAAUAUAGGUUUUAGGGUAGGCGCACUGGUAAUUUGUUCCAAAAAAAAAAAAGAACUAACUGUUCACUUCAGCGUUGUUCAAUUUUCAAUUUCACAUUUUGAGAGUUAGGUUGCAGACUUGAUCGAAGUACAUUUUUUUUUUUUACAAUUAAAAAAGAAGCACUUCUUUUAAUCAAUAAAACUCAUAAAAGGCCCAAAUCGGACCAUGUCAAAAUUAUUAAAGACAAUAAAAGUAUAUUUUCUAUUACUAAAACUAAUAAUAUAUAAAAAUCGGACCAAGUCAAAAUUGUUAAAGAAGCGAUGGAAGUGCAUAUUAUUUAGGGAAUUUGACGAACGUACUAUCGGAAACUAUCUUCAUCGGGUAAAAAAAAAAAAAAAACCAAUACGAAACAAACCUCAAGUAUUUACGCAUAUGAUAUCUCCAAAAACCUGGAAAAACAUGUAUUUCAUCCUUGACAUUACAGAUUGAAUUGGUUACGUUGAAGUUUAAUGAUAAACUCUCAAUCGAAUUUUACCAUUGUGUCUUUACUAUCUUACAGUUCACAAGACUGUAAAUACAAAACCUAAACUAAGCUAACCUGGAUUUGGAGUUGCUGCCAUCAGUGCCAUGGACGUUGUCUUUCACUUUCCAUCCAUUGUUGCUCUCACCAUUGUUCAUGUCGUCAUUUGAACCCAUGGUAAAUUAUCAGAAUGUUGUAUGUGACAGUGGGGUAGAAAUGAAAAGAAGGUUUUCAACUGCAUAAACAUAUAUAUACAGGGCCCUUUCAAUGAGGGAUCCCUUUUUUUGUUCAUUUUUAGGGAUAGAUCAUUUGACGAACUUUUCGAUUACAAAAUCAAAUCUUCACCGUUCCGUUCGUUGGACUAUAUGAGUAGAUCAUUUCUACAAAUUUUCAGAAAAUUUGGUGAUCGUUAAGUCAUCCAAAUGANNNNNNNNNNNNNNNNNNNNNNNNNNNNNNNNNNNNNNNNNNNNNNNNNNNNNNNNNNNNNNNNNNNNNNNNNNNNNNNNNNNNNNNNNNNNNNNNNNNNNNNNNNNNNNNNNNNNNNNNNNNNNNNNNNNNNNNNNNNNNNNNNNNNNNNNNNNNNNNNNNNNNNNNNNNNNNNNNNNNNNNNNNNNNNNNNNNNNNNNNNNNNNNNNNNNNNNNNNNNNNNNNNNNNNNNNNNNNNNNNNNNNNNNNNNNNNNNNNNNNNNNNNNNNNNNNNNNNNNNNNNNNNNNNNNNNNNNNNNNNNNNNNNNNNNNNNNNNNNNNNNNNNNNNNNNNNNNNNNNNNNNNNNNNNNNNNNNNNNNNNNNNNNNNNNNNNNNNNNNNNNNNNNNNNNNNNNNNNNNNNNNNNNNNNNNNNNNNNNNNNNNNNNNNNNNNNNNNNNNNNNNNNNNNNNNNNNNNNNNNNNNNNNNNNNNNNNNNNNNNNNNNNNNNNNNNNNNNNNNNNNNNNNNNNNNNNNNNNNNNNNNNNNNNNNNNNNNNNNNNNNNNNNNNNNNNNNNNNNNNNNNNNNNNNNNNNNNNNNNNNNNNNNNNNNNNNNNNNNNNNNNNNNNNNNNNNNNNNNNNNNNNNNNNNNNNNNNNNNNNNNNNNNNNNNNNNNNNNNNNNNNNNNNNNNNNNNNNNNNNNNNNNNNNNNNNNNNNNNNNNNNNNNNNNNNNNNNNNNNNNNNNNNNNNNNAAAUAAUGCAUUUGUAAUGAAUCAUUUAUCAUUUUUCCGUCGCUAGGGUACCUUGAAGAAGAACCUGUGAAACCCAAAACCCUAGCUGUAGUUUGAUCAACCAAGGGUGGUUCUUCAUAGUGUGCACCUGCAUAAGUAAUAAUUAAGGCCACAUAGAGAGCAACGAUCCUUCAGGUAAUCAUACGAAAAUUUCAGCAAAGGUUCGACGUCCUCCUCUAGCUAGGAAAACCAUAUGCUACAGUUGAACAUGCAUGUUGAGAAAUAACAUGAGAGAGAGAGAGAGAGAGAGAGAGAGUUGGUUUCGCGGAGGGUUUUUCCUCAACCUUGGUGAAUGAGUAGCAAUAUAUGUAGCAUAAUUAACCCCUCAUUAAUCAAGUGACAAAUUAAAAUUAGUAUGACAAUCCAAUUGUGUAAAGUCCUUCACACACACACACACUGUCUAGCAUCACUACCAUAAGUAGCGAUCAUACUGAAAGAGGAAAGAGUGCACCAACACCUUCAGUAGCUUCAAUUCCAAUUAGGGAAACAGUGGAGUGCAACUUACAUGUAUGUCUAGUAUUAUAUACAAGCAUCGAUCACAUGGUUUGCAGCAUAAUGAGAUCGACAUGAAACAUUUGCUAGGUUAUGGUGUCUUUCAUUUUGAUAGAAUUAUUAACCAAUUAUAUUUCCUCCUACUACAACGUAUAAUGACAACAAUGAACUGAUGAACAAACAUUAUAUAUCUUAAAGUUUAAGUACGUAUGCAAAUACACAGAUAGAGACAUGAUUAUAUUGAGGAUUGUCGGGUACGUAGCUUAUGAGGACUUUAUUGGAUAAUGGAAAUCAAAGAUAUCUACUAAAAGCCAAAUGAUGAAUAAUUAUGGUCUUAUUAAUUUAACCAUCACCCAGAAAUCAAGGUUCAAUUUGUACCUAACCCUUUUUAACUACUAAUUAGGCUUCUAGCCUUUGUUGGAUUAGUGUUGCUACGUAGGUAAUUAGCAAAUGCCAACAAAUUACAUGAGAAAACAAAAGGCACCGCUCAAGUUCUAAGAAUUAUAACGAUUCCACACAACUACUACUCUCAUACGAAAAUCAAAGUUAUCCUAAAAUUCUAGAGCUACUGUUGAUCACGUAAAGUCUGUCUAACAAAUCGAUCGACUACUUUCUCAACCGAAAGACCAAAUGCUUGGUUUGGUGCGCUCUUCCACAUUUUAAACCUAGCUAAAUCAAGAAAAGGGAUUCUUGAUUUUCCUGACUUGAUCUAACUUUUGGGGGACUUUGAUUUUCUUUUUGUUCUAUCACCAACCUCCAUCUUUAAUUUAUAAAAAAUAUUAAACGUACGCUUUGUUUUUCUAACAAAUUAUGUAUGCAUGGGUCUCCAAUCAUUCUUUAAUAUGUUGUAAUUUCUUAUAGGGGUAUCACCGUAUCACACUAAAUCACACUCAAGUAAUGAAGUUUUAAAAAGUUUGAUAUGUUUAAGAUCAAAUCGGAUCUGUACUACAUGCACUUGAUCGAUGGUAGCUAGCUAGAAAACCAAUUAAACUUAUUUCUCAGUUGUUAAAAUUAAGAGUUUGGCAAUUGGCAUAAGAUCAUCUUCCAUUCAAAAGAAAUUAAAUCGUACAAAACAAAACAAGGAAGAACCGAAGAACAUUAUCCAAUAAGUAUAUAGACAAAGGAUGAUAUAUUAUGGAGCUUGAUUGAGCUACAAUUUCAUGUUGGUGAUUGAUCCAGCUCUUCAAUUUUAUUUAAAUUCUAACCUAGCUAGAUCCGGAAUCUUGCUGCUAGCUCGAUCUUAUUGCUCUGUGUCAUUUGCACUUUUUCAGAAACUAAUGGUAUCAUGUGAGCUAUAUGUGAGACUAUGACCCUCUUUUUGCAGCUUCUUUCUGAUUCUGUGUCGACGACUCAAAGUCUCUACUUACACACCGCCGUGAUAGUCGCCGGUUCACAUGAAACAAAAGCCGGCCAACUUUCUUCAUCUUUGUCGAUCACCCACCUUUAACCAUCUUUAACCUCAAUAAAACAACCCUAAUAUCCUACAGCUUUUGCUUUAUAUACCUCCUCCUCCCAAUUAGGGCAUGCAAAAGCUCCAUACAAAGUCGAUACGAACCCUUCUUUUCCAUUAUAAUAGCUCUACUUUGCAGUCAAGGUGGUCGUUGGACUGAGGGUGACCCACAAUCACUCUACCCUGGCUUUAGGGUUUCUUGAAGAAAAGGGUUAAAUGGUUAGUAAGGUGGUCAAAAAAGAGGAUGGUAGUUGUGAAUGCUUUUGUGCUAUGGAGUCGAUCAUGACGCUUGGUUUGUCGACUGGAAUUGAAUAGAUAUGUCAAUUGGAUUUGGAUACGGAGGCCAAGGAUUUGAAGAUGCAGUAAAAAUUGUAAAAUUACAAUUGUUGCUUAGAGGGGGCGGCUGGCUUGUCUCCUUCGCAGACAGAUGGGACCAAAAUGCAUGAGAGGAAAAUAUCAUCGACCUUUUGUAGUGCAUGUCCCUUCAAACUUUCAGUUUGUCUGAAACAGUGUCUGCAUGUGUGUGUGUAUAUGACCACGACAUCUACUGGAUAUAUUGUAGACAAUAAUUCGAUGUUUACAAGGUACUCUUCUGACGUUUGUUAAUAAAACGUAACGGAUGUAAAUUCAGUCAGAGAUUAAACCCAGAUUGCAGACAAGAAUGAUCAAGAUCAAAGAGUUAAGAUUGUUAUAGAUUUCUGAAAAGAAAAUAUAUUUGUAUGCAUGUCUAUAGACUCUUGUUGGCUUUACGGAUUUGAGAUUUUCGAGCCUAUGAAUCAAAUCUCCAUUUUCUUAUGUAUUUUCAGUGUGAAUAAUACAACUACGAAGUUAGGUCUGUGUGACAAUAUGAUGUUGGUAUAUAAUGGUCGAUCGAGUGCUCAGAAAGAUAGUAUCAUGGGUUUAGGUCUUUAGGGUUUACGUAUCUAAUUGCAUUUUUGAUCCUCCCGCACUCGACAUUAGCUAGCUAGGUAGGCUUAACUGGCCAAUAUGAUAAUUCGAACUUCUUAAUGUACUUUUGUAAAACUAUAAAUUGUUGAUAUAGCUAGAACAAUAAGUAGUUGGUGUCGAUUACUAGUUAGAUAUCACUUCCAGAUAGUUCUAAGGAAACUGGCCGGCAGGGGCAACAAUAAGGCAAGAGCUUAAUUAGUCAUAUGAUUUGAUGGAGGCUAGGAGAAAUGACUGUUGGACACAUUAAAUGGUAGCCUAAACCCUAAACCCUUAAAUGGUACGUAGCCAAUAGGAAGAUUUAAAUGUAUGUGUAAGACUGUAAGCUAAUAAUCAACUAGGAAUUAUAAUUACUUUUUUUUGUUUUGGUCAAGGAAUUAUAAUUACAUUGGCGAUGAUCUAAUUGUGUGUGUGUAUAGUUCCUAUCCAGAGUAAAGUGUGUCAAAAAUAUAACCGAAAAGUGUGUUAAAUAAAAAACUUCACACUUUAUUCUCAUAACGAAGCUUCGUUCUGGAUAGGAACUGUAUAUGUAUAUGACACUAGUUGACAUGCAUUUUUUUUCUGGGACAAAAUUCUUAGCUUCUUAAAGGCAGACUAGGAUAAAUGGUUAUCCAUCCUUAUCCCAGAAGCAUGAUUUUGUAACUCAUUGGAGGAACAACCAUCCUACAAUCAUUCAAAACAUAGUAAUAGUUUGGUACUGAAAAUAUGGGGCACAAUCAAACAUGGGGUUGGGUUAUGUGACGACAAAGAUAAGUCUAGAAGACUGCAUGUGUGACAUAUAGAUAUAUCCAUGAAAUCAUUUAAUUAAUAGGUCAUAGCUUCUUCUAUAUUAUAUGUUUCUAGAUAGAUCUAAUUCCCCAAGUAAUUUAAUUUAUGUAUUGUAGAUCCUCAAGGAGGAGGACUUUUGCUAUGCUUGAUUGGUUUACAAGCUUAGAUUGAAUUUUCGUAUACUUAGCCCAUGUUCCAAAUGAUUUUUGAUGAUGAAUGUGAUGAAACCAUAUAUGGAAAAUGAUCAGAGACAUGUAUUCUAAGUUGUUGCACCGUGCUUUGUGCUCAAAUGAAAGAAAAUACUUCAAAUUUGGGAACUAUAAGACACGUACCAAUGAUGAAACGAAUCAACUCUGUUAAAUCAACUUUACAAUUCAGGACUAGGCAGACUGAUUUUUUAUCAGUAUGAAAUCGUCCACAAUUGUAUGAAUAGUUGGUUUUCAUUCUAUGAAUUACUCCCGAUCAAUGUCUAAUAAAGAGAAUUCAACCCAUUAAAUUGAUCAUUAGGGAUGAAUAUUAAAAGCAAAUGAGAGAAGAAAUCCAAGUAUAACCAUAUUUGGACGAAUGGACCAAACUAUUAAGUGAUGAAAAUAUGAUACUGAGCAAAUCUUCUUCUUCUUUAUAACAAGAAAAUAUAUUAAGAGCUGAAACAGGAACAUCGCCUACCUCUAGCGACAGCAGAAAUAUCAUCAAGGUAUGCUUGAGCUCUACAUCUCAUGCAUUAAAAAUGGCCGGGUAUAGAUUCGGAUCUAGUUAUGUAGCCAUAGCAACUAAUUUAACGGCAUUGGGAAUCAGAAGUCUGCAUGAAAUUUAGGGUCUCAUUUUAUAAUUUUCUUUCUAAGGAUUGGAUCACGAGCCUCAUGGCAGUUAUUAUUGUUAAUAUUUAUUCUUUUCGACUGUGACCCAGUUUUGUGGUUGGGAUCGUGGUGCUGUGGUGGUGGGUUUAGGAAUCGGCGAGCUAGUUAAUCCUUACGGCGGCGACGGGAUGGUGGCCUCUGGUUGGGUCAGCUGGCCUCAUUGGCUAUUGCAGGUUGUCUAAUUGGGGGACACACUUGAGUCUAGUUUUAGCUUUCAUCAUAGUGACUUUAUAUGGACGAAGUCACAAAACUGAGCUCUACAAUGUUCAGACCAGUUCUUGUUGUGCAUUUAUCUUGUUUACCUAAGAGGGUAACGUAUGUGUUGCAUUUAUUCAUCUUCAUAUGAAUUCGUUCGUUGAGGCAUGAGUAAUACUUUGGAGAAUUUAAGGUAAGUUAUUAAAAGAGCACUCCACACUCGGAGAUCCUUGUAGGCUUUAGCCUCCUCCUAGGGUGAUGUUGCAAGGUAUGGUGCCGUUGCAGGUGGUGGCAAUGCUUCGAUGGUGGUGGUGGUGUUGCCGGAUAGUUGCGAUUGGAUCAUAUGUUCUAAUUUACAUAUUUUUGUGCAAAUAGGCAUUUUCGCUAUUUUUAAUCGUCCGAGUCCUUUCUAGAACAAGAUCGGAGGCGAUGUUCAUGUUAAAUGUUAUUUAGAACUCUUAACAAGCUAGAGAGAGGGCUUGGUGUUGGUGAUUAGUGAUGACAGCCUUGUUCACCACUAACCCACUGUAGCAAAGUUGGUGUUGCUGCAGACGGUUUAACUGCCAGCACGGAGCGGCUCGGAUCGCAGCAUGGUGGUAGCCAUUUUCCCUAGGGUUUUGCUUGGGUUGAUAUACUUUUUAUGCUCUUCGAUUCAACCUAGGUUUUUUUUUUCGACAAGAUAAAUAGAAAAACAGAUUCAACCUAGGUAUAUGUUUGUAUACUUCAAUUAAAGUAUUUUUUUUAUUUGAUUAUAUGGAUAAAGGGUCUGCAACCGCCCUUUUCCUUCUUACAGUUGCUGAAUAUCUAAGAUAAUAAUUAUCUUUUUCCCAGAAAAUAAUGGACUCUAAGAUAAAUUAAUCUCGAGCAAUUUCACUCCAUGCUCUAUUGCUUAACAAAUAACAUACACACGAAGAAGAUGAUCAUUUAAUGAUUUUAUAUUUAUGACUGAUACCACUAAUAUCAUACAUUCAUACUGUAAUAAAAGGAAUGAAGAAAGAGAAAAAGGGGAAUGAAAGAUUACGUUGAACUGCUAUUGUGCGUACCCUUGCAAUUGUUAGGUCAAAUAAAAAACAGAUAUAACCUAAUUUACAGAGAUGACCAUGGAACUCCUUGUGUAGAAUAGCCAAGCAUGCUCCAUUGGAAACACAAUACCCUGUAUUGACAAAAAACUCAGUAAGCCACUCCCAUAUAUUCUAGCAGAGGAAAAGCGUUAUACAAUUAAGAAUCACUUGGGACUGGAAAAGAUCAGAGACAUAGUAGUCUGCCCAAUUUUAGAGAUACUGAAGGUCACGUGUAGAUCCCAAGCAUCAAGAACACAACAAUAACAGAACUAAUGAUACAGUUCCUAGAAACUCUAAUCAUGAUAUUGGCAUUUCAUUCGCUGUAUAUCCACCAAUAAUGAUUAUUUAUCAACUAUGAAUUGUUCUUCAUAGCAUUAAAUAUUAGUCCAUUUCACUAGUUGUUACCACAAACGAGUAUUAUUCAACACAAGAGAUAAAACAAUAAACAGAGCUACAAUGUAUACAAUGGUAUCACAAUGUCUUUCAGAUACCUGAUCAAAGAGAGCAUGAACCAGCUGCCAUAACAAAAAAAGAAUAGGAGACCACCAAAAAUACACCUAUAACUGGAUUAUUGGGAAACAGGCUGCAAUAACCCCUUGAACUCAUCAUAAUUCCAUCUGCAAAAAUACAAAAAACAUAUAAGCACAUAUUCAUAAAAGACAAGGUUAACAUAUUCCACCAAGACGAGAAGAAAUAAAAACAAAAAUAAAGACAUAAUAUCAUUUACAGUAUCAACAGUUUGUGCAAGAUUACGCUCGCAAACACACAUGUAUGCAGAGCAGCUGAUCUUUUGCAGGAUGAUUCUGAGUGAAGAUCUAUUAUGCAAAAAAAAAAAAAAAAAAAAAAAUCUCUACUCUUCCUUUGGAAACACGUACAAGAAAAACUAUUAUUUAUUCGGAUGACAUGUAAGAACUGAAGUAGUCAUACUUGCACAGAAAAACUGGUGGUAGUUCAUUAUUUGUAUCAGCUCCUAAUUGGCUCCGUCUUUCAAUUUCUUCAUUGAACUUAGCAAGAGGAAGAACUUCACAUGGACCUUGAAUUAAGCCCGCCAUUACAGUGCUUUCAUGAUUAGAUUCGUACACCUGUUGUGCAGAAACAAUGAAUUUGAUAUGAACUUCCAUAAAUAAAAAGAAUUAAAAAAGAAUUUUGAAAUUAAAAUCAGAGAAAAUUUGUCUACAAAUCAAUAGUGUGGUAUCUGGAAUUACACCAAUAAAAGGAUAAACACUAGGUGAAUAAAACAAUUUGCAAAACAUACAUACACACAAUUAUGUAUGCAAGAUAAAGUACCUCAUUACUUUCAGGUGUAGAUGGCCGACCAACAUUCUCUGGUAAGUCACUAGGAAAGUAACAUGUGUUAACUAUAACCCACUUUGACCCGCUUUUCAUAUCCUCCCACAUUGACUACAAGGAGAUGAAAAAGUUUCAAUACACAAUCACUGAUAACUUAGUGACAGAAAUAACAGGUGAUCUAUAACACAAGACUGACUGAAAUAUUAACACCAAUAUAACUUUCAAUUAUUAGGGUACAGCUAUCAAGGGAUGGUUCAUAAAUUACUUGCCUGAAGUUUAGAGGGUAUCAAUUUGCCAUCACUAGACUGGAAGAGAGCAUGUUCUUGUAGCUCAUAUGUUACUCCAUCAAUACAACAAGAACCGUAAAAUUGUUUUUCACUGACAACUUGAAUUGAAUCACCGAUCCAUUCAACAGGUCGCAAGCCAUCAGAGGUAAGUCUAGUAUGCUCUAGUGUCCCACCGCUAACUACAAGACUUUCACAAAUAUUUUCUUUUGCAAUAUCUUGGACAUCUCUAAUAGAACAGCUAGAAUCUUCUCCACAGUUUGGAAGCCCUGCUUGAUCAACAACUUUUGAGUUAGAUAAGGGCUGAGAAUAAACAGACUUAUCAAUAUCUUCAUUGGGUAAAUCAGCAAGAGGUUCUGUUUUUGAUUCAUAAGGUAUCUUAUCUAACAUAGAUAAUUCAGAAUCAUCAGUUUAUUGAGAUGAACUUUCACCAGACACGAAACUUAAAGGAAGAGGUUUCUCAUCCAUACUUUUACUGUUUGUUGAGAAAUUAUUACCUUGCAUUUCUCUUGCAUUUGAAAUAUUUGAAUCAACAUCUUUGUUGGAUAUAUCAGAAGGAGGCUCUGCGCUUGAUUCAAUUAAUCUAGAUGAUUCAGGAUUAUCUGUUUCUCUAGUGGAUCUUUCACCAGACAUGAAACUUCCAGAAAGAGGUUUCUCAUCCGUACUUUGACUGCUUGAUGGGAAAUUAUUCACCUGUGUUUCUGUUGCACUUGAAAUGUUUGGAUCAGAAUCUUUGUUGCAUAAAUCUGCAGGUGGUUCUGCACUUGAUUCAAAAAGUCUCUUGUCAGAUUUAGAUGAUUCAGAAGUAUCUCUCAGUUGAGAUGUCCUUUCCCCAGAAGGAAGACUUCCAGAAAGAGUUUUCUCAUCCAUAUUGUUACUGCUUGAUGGAAAUUUAUUCCCUUCGAUUUCACUUGCAGUCGAAAUCUUUGGAUCAGCAUCUUUGUUUGACAAAUCAGAAGAAGGUUCUGCUCUUGAUUGAGAAGGUGUCCCGUUUGGUUCAGAUAAUUCAAGAUUACCUAUUUGUUUAGAUGAUGUUUCACUUGACAAGAAACUUCCAGAAACAGGUUUCUCAUCUGCAUUUACACUGCUUGAUGGUAAAUUAUUCCCUUGCAUUGCUCUUGCAAAUGAAACUUUUGAAUCUGUUUCCGACUUAAUAUUGUCCGUUCCCACACCACCGGCAUGAGCAGGAUCUGGGGAAACAGAGCUUACAUGUGCAUUUAUCUUCUGCUCAAAGGCCUUCUGAUCUAAAGCUCCCACGUUAUUCCCCGAGGACAUCUGAACUACAGCCGUGCUAGAAGGGACUGUAGCAGAAGCAACAGUGCUGGAAGCAACUGUACUGGAAGGGACCGUGCUGGAAGGGGCUUUUAAUUGUAUAUUACUUCUCAUAACACGCCCAUACUUAGGAGGCAAAGGCUUUCCAUUGCUUAGCGACAAGCAUCUUGUGCAGUGCCAUUCACCUCUAGGAAUUCCUCUCUGGUUAGGUGCUUGUGCGCAUGUAAUGUGAUAUCCUUUUUCACAUGCAUCACAUAUAAGAACAUUAUCUACCUCAUUGAUGCUGAUCUGGCAAGUUUGGCAAGUCAAAGCCUUACUCAUGUAAUCCCUUGAUGGAGGGAUCCAUGUUGGAUGAUCAGGAAGAUGUGGUUGCAAUAAUUUCUGAAUAAUUCUGGCAAUCUCGUUGUGAUUAUUAGGAACUGAAGAAGUUUGAACAAAGCGAAUUUUUGGUGAAGGCUGGUGUCCGCCAGGCACUUGUCCAGAAGAUGGCUGAGAGGUAAAUGACCUAGAAUUCUGAUCUCGUGCUGCUAGAGGAGUCAUUGCUGGCUUACUCAUACCAGCAGUUCCUUCAACCCUGACAGAAGUAUGACUUGGCACCUUGUUUUCUGGUCCACUUUGAUUUUGUGUUGACCAAGUUGGAGCAUUAACGGGUGGAUGAUUUGCAGAAGAAUUUGCUGCAAAGAGUAUAUAUAAUAUGUAAAUACUUCGAUAUGCAGAGAGAGGAUAGCAAUCUAAUGAUUAGGUAAAAAAAGAAUGGCACCUUACUACAAACUAAAACUGAACAACAUUAGUUACCUUGUACUUGAUAAGCAUAAGAAGACCCAUUGGAUCCUCCAUCAGUUCUUAUCUGUACUCUUUCACCUCUAGGCAAUGCUGGGGAAGAUGGAUCUCUUCCUAUAUGGCUACCAGGCACACUGCCAGAACCCACGGGCAACUGAUACUGUGCAGAUGUAGGAGUUGUUGCAGAAACAUGAACGAGAGGAGAAGCUGCAAAACCACCGGCUGAAAUUGGUGCAUGGUUCGGGUUAUCUGUUGACAUACGAACAGUAUGUGGCAUCCCAUGGCUUUCAGCAGCUGCACUGAAGCUUGUUUUUAAUGGUUGAGGUGAAUAUGUAGCAGUUUGUGCAGCAUAUUUCUUGGAUUCAUCCAUCUACAAAAAGCCCAACAUAUCAUAAAUCAGAGAUUUCUCUACUCAGAAGCACCUAUGUGCCAUCAAACAAAACUCUACCCUAAUUCUUAAGCUUCCCCGACCAGCUGCUAGUUUCCUAACUUGUUACAAAGAUCCCAAAACCUAUCUAAACAAAGAUGAAACCUUUCGAGAAACUCAACACGAUUAAUUAUCAUGUGCCAAGGCUACAGAUUCUCAUCUAUGCCUACAGUUACAGUAAAACCAAGUCCAACCCCAUCCCCUAAACCAAAUAGUUUUUCUUAAAUUCCAUUCAUAUUAAUAAUCGGCAUAGCAUAUCGUAUCGAAACACAAACUAUACAGUACUAUCAGGCCAUUACAAACCUCAAAACAAUUCCAAUAUACUAGCGAAAACAAACCCUAACCAACAAUCACAAAACAAAAAUAAAAACAAAAUCGGCUCUCCAUACCUUCCUCUUAGUCAGCGAAAACUUCUCGGCAACCGUCAACUGGGGACCCCGAAACCCUAAUCCCUGCUCCUUAACCUUGGGAUUAAGCCCCAAAUUCUCAAUCACAGCUGAAAUCGUGUCCCUGGCGACAAUCUCCUUAGGCGGCAAACCCUCGCAGAGCUCGACCAGCCUGGCCCUCGCCUCCUCGAUGAGCCCAAUCUCCGGCUCCGUCGGCUUCUCACCGCCUCGAAUCUUGGCCAAGGUGGACAAAGCCAGCACAAUCUCGGCCACUCUCUUCAAGUCGCUCUCGCAUCUGGGCUUCUUGCUAGGCUGGGCCCCCGAUUCCGCGUCUGCAAUUGGCCGCUUCUCAACCCUAGGCGUCAGAUCCAUAAGACGACGUCGUGUUGGGGGUACGGACGAGCCCUAGGGGUAGCCGUUUGGGUUUGAAAGGAGGGGAUUUGUUGAGGUGUUUGGCGGGUAAAAUUGGUUUUGGGUUAAAAAGGUUUUGAUUAAAACGAGGGAAAGGGGAGAGGGAGUGAAGGUGAGAGAGAGCGAGGUGCGGAUAGGAUUUGGAAAAUCAAUGGGGGCGAGCGAGCAAGCAGAGAUUUAGAGAGGCGCAAUAGAAAGCGAGGGUUAUUUUCGUCUUUCGAUAUAAACAAAUGUAAGACCCGGUUCGGUGAUGUUGGACCGGUGAUGUUAGGAACGGACUGUUUGUGGUUUUUUAAUUUCUUUUUUUUCUUUUUCGUUUUUUAGUCUGUCUGGGGAUAAUUUGAGAUUUUUUUUUUCUAUUUACAUGAUAACUUUUUUAAGAAAUAUUACAAUUAAUUAAAAAAUAGUUAGUUGCUUAAAAUUAUUACUUAUCUAUUUUUAAGUCACAAGGAUCGGUCACAAGUCGAUGAGGUGUUUUUUCAAGCCCGAUCUGUAGACUCUGAGUCUUGGAUCGCAGGAACUAAGGUUUCGAGCUCUUGUGGACGUUCAACGCCAUAUCUAGAUGGGCAACAUGUUUGGAUUUGGGGGCGUCAAAACCCUAAUGCAUUUGUGGGGUCUGUGCAAAGCAAGUGGUCUAUUCUCACAUGUACCGAACCCUUAUGACCGAUGUUUGGUGGACCUAGGUUUGGCCAAACUUUUGAUGAUGGCAUCACCAAAUACUCAACCCAAACCUAGACAUGGGAAGCGUUGGGGACUGAUACGAGGAAGGGUGGGAGAGAUGCGCGACAAAAUGAGGAGGUGGAGGAAACUCCAUCAUCUAGACUAGAUACUCCAAUAUCGGAGACGGGAUGAGAGGAAGCAAAUUUGCUCCCCAUUCUUACUUCCCCACCUUUUAGAUGAAUGCCACGUUCCUUUGGGUUUAACCACUCUAACUAUGGUUAACAAACAUAUAUUUAUGAUAAUUAAUUAUAUUAUUAUCUAAUUUUACUUUAAUCUUUUUUUCUCUUUCUAAACAAAUCUGCUUCUUUUUUACAACAAGAACAAAAAACUUUCCAGAUAGUUGUGCAAAACCUUUUAACUAAUAGAGACCAAUAAUCAAAACCAAACUUAGAUACACAAUGCUAAAUCAAAACAAAUAGUCAUGCAAAUUAAAAUUAAGAAAGAAAAGUCAUGACAUUGAGAUGUAGGAUUGGUGGGUUUAAUCUGGGUAUGUCUGGGUUGGGUAUAACCAUUUGCAGCGCAUAUAUGGCAGCUUAAAACUGGAUGUCUGAUGAUGUAAUCAAGGAUCUUAAAAGUGGGGAGCAAUCUCUUUGAUCAAAGUUCAAAAUUUGUUGCCCAGAUGUUAUUCUUGAUUACAAGAAGAAGCAGAUUUGUAACUUGUUGAGCAGAUAAAGAAGCAGAUCAAAUUACUCAAACAAAAAAAAAGCAGAUCAAAGUUCGAAACUUGUUGCCCAACAUAAAGAAGUAGGUUUGUUUAGAAAAAAGAAAAAAGAAUUAUAGUAAAAUUAGAUAACAAUAUAAUUAAUUAACAUAAAUAUAUAGUUGUUAACCAUAGUUAGAGUGAUUAAACACAAGGGACACGUGUCAUUCAUCAAGAUGGGUGGGGAAGUAAAGCUGGGGAGCAAAUUUGUUUCCCGGGAUGGGAUGAUCUAGGUGAACAACUUUUGGUUGUUGGUUAGGUCAUGCUGGUGAUGUCAUAUGAGGAGGGUUUGGGCAACAGGUGGCCGAGUCGUCGGUUACAGUCUAUGAAUUCAAACCUGUAACGAACGCUGGAGGUCAUGAGGUUUGGGGAGUGGUGGUGGUGUCCCCUAAGAAGAGAUGAAGCCGAUUACUAAGAUAUCGAAGCUCAAGGAUCGAAAGCUAUACAAGAGGAAGUUGUAAAUGCUACUUGAAGCGGUAUAUAUAAAGCAGGGAGCAGUUGUGGGAAGGCACAACUUGCAAUCGGUACAUGUGAGACUGGUUGAAAUACGGAGAAGGAAGAAGAGACUAAUGAUUCUCAUCAGGAGGUGUCAGCAGAGCAUGUAAGAGCAAGUCCACCCCAUGGUAAAAAGCCUGAUCCAGGCCUUCCUCCACCUCAAAGGAAGACCCAGCAAAAAAAAGCCAAGUCCACCCAUAAAUUUUCUUCACUGGGUCUUUACCUAGGUUAAACCUGUGACCCAGGCCUCCAUUUCUGAAGACCCGGGCCUUCGUCUCCAGCUCAGCCCAAAAGCCGACGUCAGCCAUGUGAAGCACGACGUCAGCCAUGUGCAGCUCGCGCAAGUGGCGCGGAAGAAGCGAAUUGGCGAGCGCGUGGCGCGGACGAGCGACCUGGCGAGCGCGUGGAGCGGGACGAAGCGAGAAGGCGGGAGCUGAGGACGACGCCAGGGCCACGCGUCAGCAGCUGGGGUUGGUUUCCAAUUCAAAUCCAACGGUCAUUUAAUCUGGACCGUUGGUUGUAAUUAAAAAAGCAGAUCAACAGCAUUCAAUUAUACAACAAAAAUUACCGUUGGAAAAAAUUACCGUUGUGUUUCCAACGGUUUAAAAUGUUUGUUUUUUUUUUUAAAUCCCAACGGUAAGAAAAAAAUUAAAAAAAAAUUAUACAAUUCUCUAUAAAUACAUAUCACCCUCUUAUACCUUUUUCAUACCACACAAAAAAUUUGUGAUCCAUAGUUCUAUAGCUAUUUUCUUUCAUUCUCCUAUAGUUUCAUCUUUUUUAUUGUUUCGAUUCAUGGCCGGUGGAUCUACUUCCGAUAGAAAACUUUGGGAAGCCGAUGAAGACCUCCAAUUGUGCAAGUCAUGGAGAUUUGUUAGCCACUAUGCGGAAAAGGGCACCGAUCAAAAGAAAGCGCAAUUUUGGGAUAAUGUUCUCAAACACUACUUCGACAAUUUUCCGGAUGCUUACCCUCGAACAACAAGUGCAAUGAUAGGGAGGUGGAAAUCUCUAAAAAUAGAAUUGCUUCAAUGGCAUUGUGCGAUAAGGCAAGCUAAAAAUUGGGUAAAAAGCGGUUCAUGUCUUGUUGAUGAGGUAUGAAUAUUAAACUUUUUUUAAUGUAUGUUUCGAUAAAUAUUUACUUAUCGAUAAAUUAUCUUGUAUGUCAUACAUCUUAUUAAUUGUAGUUUUAUUUAUUAAUUUGUAGUACAAAAAACACAAAAUAUAUGGAAGCAAGAGAUGACAAGGAUCAAAGGAAAGAAACAAAAGAGCGAGUUCAAAGCGCAAGACUGCUACGCGGUCAUGGAAGGUUUUCAAAUGUUUCAAGACAUUCCUAGCAACAUGGAGAUGCAUGAGUCACCAUUAACGGGAGCCGAUUGUGAAAGGAUGGCUUCACAAUCAACUCAAAAUGAAGAAGUUGAUUAACCUUCUAUCAACUUGGCCCAAAAUAGUGAUGAGGUACCCCCGAAUCCAAAUGUGAGGCCUAUUGGAAGGAAAGCAACAAAAGAAGCCACCCGGAAAGGAAAGAAGGCGGCCAAAGACGCGUGUCCCAUGACAUCCGCUGUUGUCACGAUUGCAACCAACCAAUCAUCAAUAUUGCAAUCGAGGGAGAAAUGCGACGAGGCAUACGCAAAACAAUUGCAAGAGCAACAACAACGAGAAUAUAUGCGAUUGCAAAUGGAUCUUCGAAAUGAGCACUUCAAACUCCAAGAGAGGGAAGAUCGUAUCAAAGAGAGAGAAGAAAAGAUUAUGGAGGUAAAUCCAAGUACUAUGUCACCGGGGCCUAGAAAAGAUUAUUGGCGGUUAAGACAAAAAGAAAUAGCGGAAAGGCAAGAAAAUACAACUAGUGGAUAUCCCCACACAUCCUUCCCCGGCGGAUAUCCCCACACAUCCUUCCCCGGCGGAUAUCCCCAAACACCUUUUCCUGGUGGAUUUCCUCAAACACCUUUUCCUAGUGGAUUUCCUCAAACACCUUUCCCCGGAUAUUACUUUCCUCAACCACCUUCGACCGGUGACUCGACCAACCCGACCAAUCUCAAUGACCCUUCAAACACCGAUUUCUUUUGUAAUGAGAAUGUCGAUAAUUAGACUUAGAAAUUUAAAUUAUUGUAUUUUUCUUUUCUUUUUUUCCUAGACUUGUCUUGUCAAUUUAAGUCAUGUAAUAAAUAAAAUUAAUUUUAAUGUCAUUUUUUUAAAAUUUAUCUAUUAUCUUUUUUAUAAUUUCAAUACGUUAUUCAUAAUUUUAAUAACACAUAAAAUCAUUAUUCACAUUCAAAAUACAUAAUAUAAAAUUCAAUAAACAGUCAUUACCACGUGGUAACCCAGAAACAUAAAUCGUGGGUAGAAACUGCAGCCUAAAAUCACUGCCACGUGGCGACCCAGGUCUCGCCCAUGACCCAGGCCUUCCCAACAAAGACCCAGGGAGUGGACUUGCUCUAAGGCCUGAGAACUGGCACCAGACCUCUCCACACAGUAGCUGUCAUCUUUACCCUUGCGUUGAUAAUGUAGGUUAGUUGUAUGGGUGUGCAUAAACUGCCUAGGAGGUUGAGGUACUUAUGUAAUGGCUAUAUCUAACAGCCCCACAGGGAUGGGUCGUUAUCUUGUAAUUCUGCUGAGUAAUUGAUCUUACUAUGUUUAGUUUGAGUAAACAAAUUUUCAUUGUUGUUGUUGUUUUACUAUGUACGCGUUUCCUCAAUAAUGGUCUUUAAUAUAAAAAGAAGGGGAGAAAAUAGAUGCAAGGUAAAUCUUUAGUCUCUUAUUCUCAAUCCCCAUACCACCCAUUACUUCUUAUUCUCUUUAUAUACCUAGUUUGAUCCAUAUAAUUUGUCAUACCCAUUCUAAGGCUUACCUCACCCAUAUUCUUCAUACAAACAACUUCUUAAUUGGUUAACACAUGUUACUUCACUUUGUGCUUCCUCAAAAUUUUCAUAAGCAGUUGCUAGAUCUUAAAUCUCUUUCAUUAUUUGUCUAAAUAUAUCCACACACAAAAAGAAAAAAUCUUGGCAUCCAGAAAACACAAGAGUAAUGAAUUGUCAUGAAGUACUCAUAUGUACAAAAUGUUACAAAAUAUUCUUAAAAUGUUGAACCAUUACAUAAGUUUAUAACAAAUGCUGACUAAACUUUGUCUGAACUUGCAAAUCUUUAGCGAAGUAACCGAGAAACUUUACUACCCACUGCUGGCGAAACGAGAAAAAUAAUGCAGUUCUAGUCUUUAGAGAGUAUAGCUGAAAAGUGAGAACCCAAAGUUGUGAACAUGUCGAAGCCAUUUCAUAAAUUCCGUAAGUUUCACAAGUUUAUAACAUAUCCUAGUGGCACUCUGCCUUCAGUUGCAUAUCUUCAACAAGUAAUGAGAGGCUAUGAAGAUAACUAUUGUAUGACACGCAAUCUAGCUAGUUUUAUACUUUGGCCACCGUCAAUCAACCACCGUCAAUCAACCAUUCAAUAUCGGUUGCCUUCUGUUAAGCUUCCUCAAAAUUUACUUCCACUGCAGCAAGCUCGGCCUUGAGCCUCUUCCUUUGAGUGUCUAGAGUGUUCAUUUCCUCCCUCAACUUUUUUGCUCUUUCAACUUCGUCCUUCAUACCCAAGGCUGUUAUAAAAUCUUCCUUGACCCAACUCAAGUCGAAUUUGAAGACCUGAAACUCUUCCCAUAACUUCCUCAGGUCUUGACGAGAUUGCGCUGUCAGUUUCUGAGGCUCUCUGGUGUUCAGAAAAUACAACAAUCGACCCAAUGUUGUGAACGCCCAUUGAGUGAACUGCUCGCCUUGGUCCUGCAUACAUUCAACCAGAGAAGGGCGGAAGGAACAAACCUCCUCCAGCAAUGGAACAAAGGCUUUAUCGACUACACCGAAGCCUCUGAAAUUUGCGGUUACACCAAAGAAGGGAAAUCAUUAUCACACAAGAAGAACAAGAUGUAAGGAAUACUAAAAUAUAAACGUUCAAGGAGAGACACCGAGAUGAAAAAAAUAAAAAUAACAAUAGAAAUUAUAUAUAUAUAUAUAUAUAUAUAUAUAUAUAGUUAGUUACGUAAGAACACACAAUUAUANACAAUUUAGUUAUACUAGUUUCUUAGUUCUUGUUAGUUUAAAUUAAAUAAGUAAGGACGUACGAAGUUAAUUAUUAAAUUAAACUUAANAGUUAGACGAAACAAACAAACUAAAUAUACGUGGCGAACGGAGUACGUACGGUAGUUUAGUUACUAACUUUACUAACUAAACUAAAUAACAAACUAAAAACAAAAAAGGAAAAAGGAAAAAAAGAAAACUAAAAUUAAAAAAUUAAACUUAGGUAAACCGAAAACUAAACUAAUUUAGUUACGUAGUUCUAAAAAAAACUAAAAAAAAAAAAAUUAAGAAAGUAAAAGAAAAUAAAGAUACAACAGAAAGAACAACAGAUAGGAAAAAGAAAAAAANAAAAAAAAAAGGAGCACAAUGAUGCAACGCUGUAAGAUUUUUUUGUGCAUAAAACGAUAUGAUAUCACCAAAGUUGAACCUUGAUUUGAAAACCACAUAUUUGCAGCAAUGUUCUUUAUAAUUGAUUUCUCCAUAGUCAUUGGUCAAUAUAUGAAGAUCUUACAUGUUAGAGCUACAGCUUUAUGAUCUGAAUUGAGUACCAACAGUUUAUUUCAAGUUAGAUUAAUUUAACGAAAUAUACACAAAGGGCAGAAAGCCUAGAUGUUUAAUAAUAUCAAAUUAAAACUCUCAAUAUUGUUCUAGCAAUCAUUAUCUAACUAAGCUUUUAUGCAACUUGAUCAAAGUGUCCCGGUUUGAAAACACUUGAUCCGAUCAAAGUGUUUGUGUUCUUCUGUCUAUUUUUUUUUUUGGCGAUCUGUUUUUUUUUCUUAAUCUUACAACUAUUUUUUGGUUUCUAGAUUUUAAGAAAUUAGGUAAGUCCACGUCACUUGCCAAGUCAAUUAGUUAUUUGUUGCCAUUAUAUUUGAAAUUGAUCUAGAUUGUUUAUUGUUUUAAAAUCCAAUGGCUAAGAAACAAUGUCAAAAUUUGUGUCAAAUUUGAUGUCCCUCGAACUGGACCUGUAUAUAUAUAUAUAUAUAGGGCCCUUCCAAUGAGGGAUCCCUAUUUUAAGCCAUUUAUAGGGAUAGGGCAUUACACGAACUUCCCGAUUAUAAUUUUACAUCUCCACCGUUCAUAUCUUAGGUCUAUAUGAGUAGAUCGCCUUUACAAAAUUUCAUAUGAUUUAGUGAUCGUUAAGACUUUCAAAAGUUUAAUUUAGUUUUAAUGACCUUCAACGGUUUUAGUUUGACAUAAGCUGGACCGUUCAAAAUCAUUAAAACUAAAUCAAAANNNNNNNNNNNNNNNNNNNNUACAUUAAACUAAAUCAAACUUUUGAAAGUCUUAACGAUCACCAAAUCAUAUGAAAUUUUGUAGAGGUGAUCUACUCAUAUAGACCUAAGAUAUGAACGGUGGAGAUGUAAAAAUUCAAUUGGAAAGUGGUGUAAUGCCUUAUGCCUAGAAAAUAGCCAAAAAUAAGGAUCCCUCAAUGGAAGGGGGCUAUAUAUAUAUACCUCUAUUUAUAUAUGGUAAAUCAUUGAUUCGAUUGAAUGUGAGUGUCAAAUCUCUUCCAGCACCAUAUUCCUCUUCAUCUUGGCCUUCACAUGCCUUAGAGAUGUUAAGCACCAUUUUUUACUAGAUGAAGAUAGAAGCAUAUAUGAUUUAUUUAGUUUAGGUACUGAUUUUUAUAGGCAGAAUAGAGUGUUCUCGAAUAGUGGUUUUCUAAGUAAGAAACAAUUGACGACAUUAAAAUUGUGGGCGGUUUUGAAAAUUGUGGGCGGUUUUGAAAAUCUAUUCUAAUUUUGAAAUUGUGAGCGUUUCAAAAUUUCGCCAAAUUUGAAAACUGUUGGUGUGUUUUUUUAAUUGUUUAUGCAUGUCAGAAUUGUGUGCAUUUUAUAAUUGAGGUGGUUUUGAAAACUGUGGGUGUUCUUUUUAUUGUAAGAUAGUUACUCUUGAAUAUUGUGAGUUUUUUGGGCACAACUCUAUGUUGGUUUUUCUAUGUUGAAUAUUGGGUUCUCCGAUAUCAGUGUUCAAAUAAAGAAACACGUGGCGGUUUAAAGUUUUUUGCGGUUUUGAUUGUGGGCAUGCUUAAAAAUUGACAUUCUUUUGAAACUUAUUAGCGUCUCAAUUCCUAAACUCUUUAUAAACUGCAAUGUAAUAAGUUUUAUUCUGUACAAUUGUAUUCUUCGAGCCUAUAAGGAAGAUGUCUUUUGGUACCAAAAGUAUGAUUUGGGUCUUUGCGUGUGGUUAUGUUCUAUCUAUUAUGUGUUUUUCUUAUAAGGUUUUAGUUUUAUGUGUAAUUUAUUUACAAUAAAUCAUCUUUUCCUCUUGAGAACAUGUGGGCUUUGUCGAUGUCUGCGUGUCUACUUUUGGAGGCGACAAAUCAUGAAAUGCAUUGGUUGCGAGCUCCUCGUGGCUGCAUGAAACUACGUGUCCUUGAAUUUAAUUUCGGUUGUCCGCAUUAGCUUCGAUAACCUAGCCUAAUUGGGUCGUCGAUGGGGCGUUUUCUCAAACCCGAUCCUUACAGUCUAAAUUGUGGGUACGUCAGAGGAACAGAGGUUUAUAGCUCUUGUGGACGUUCGGUGCAAUAUCUGAAUGGGCAAGAGCUUUGGAUUUUGGGCCGUUAAAACCCUAGUGCAUUUGCACUAUUAGAAAUUUCGGGUAUGUGCAAGGUUUGUGGUCUAUUAUCACAUGGACUGGACCCUUAUGACCGAUCUUUGGUCCACCAAUUGGCCAAGUUAGGUCUCGUCCAAAUACUCGACCCAAACCUAGACGUGGGAAGAACCAAAGACAUAGGAACAGUGAGAGAGAUGCGCAAGAAAUGAGGACGUGCAGGAAACUCAAUCAUUUGGACUAGAUACUUCAAUAGUGGAGGCGGGAUGAGAUGAUUUAGGUGAACAACAUGUUAAUCAUGUCAUGUUGGUGGAGAUGUCAUAUGAGGAGCAUUUGAAGAAGAGGUUGGAGAUGAUGCAGGCUGAGGUUGGGCAAUAGUUGGCUCUUUCCUAUUUGUUUAGUGUCAUGUUUUUUUUUUUUCCUUGCUCUUUAUAAGAGUUUUUACCAAAAAUGAAAAUAUGGAAUGUAGAUUGUAAAAUGAGAAAUGCAAAUUUCAGUCUCCUUUAUUAAUAUUUUUCAAUCAAGGAAAUUCUUAUAAUUAAUAGGGACUCAAAAGAGCAUGGUUACAAGAAAAUCGAAACACCUUUAGAUGUAGUGUAAUCAAAAUACUAGAAAAUUGUGCUAGCUUAAGGCUAGAGCGACCAUUAUAUACCCUUCGCUGUCAUGAACAGACAUAACAAGAAACUAUGGUGUGUAUUAUGAACAGACAUAACAAGAAACUAUGGUGUUAUACACGAUAACUUGGAAAGUUGAAACCUUCUUCGGUCUCCUUUAUUUAAUGCGACUCUUUUCAACUUAUGUAUAACAUUUUAACCCUUGCAGUCUUGCAUGGCUUUCGAAUAUUCUCUUUAACUGUAUACCUUUAUGGCUUUUUGUACCUUUAUACACCUUGCAGUCUUACAUUUCACUCUAAUCAUAACUAUUUGACUAUUUGAGUACAUUACAUUUAAACCCUUUUACAUGAUAAUUUGCACUUCAAAUGCAUAUACUGACUCCAAUUAAACAUCUAACCCCCUAAUGCCAGUCAAAAUUGAACCCAUAACCAGUCUAGCUAGUUCAAAAUCUUUACACCAGAAUCCUAAAAAAGAACUGCAUUUACAAGAAAAGCAAACGUGCUUGACUAACCUUGCCUCGUAACUUGCUUUUCAGUGACUUACAUACGCUAUAAACUAACCUCUCCACAGAAAAUAAGCACUAAUACUAAUUUUGUGUAUGGUGUAUAGCUCUCUGGUUUGACCGAGCUUCCUGCUGACGAUGUGUCAGUUAUUGUUCUAGAAACGCAACAUCACUGUAUACUGUAAGCCUUGAAUUGGUGGAGAAGGUUUCAGAAUUAUGAAGGGUAAAUCCAUGCGGAAGUGGUAAAGGUAGUCCUUUCCAGAGCCAUAAAUUCACAUAAGGCACGACAACAGUUCUGAGGACCGUUGACAACACUGCCUGCAGUAUAUAUUCUUGAUGAAGUUAAUAUCAAAUGGAGCACAAUAAGAGGAAAACAGAAACUCCCUCAAGUAUUCCAGGCUACCUGAUCGAGGAAGCUAAAGACUAGCAAAUUUGACAAAAAAAUUUGUAGAUACCAAGUCAGUACUUAAACUCAACUUCUAUAGAUGUCAGUACUUAAACUCAACUUAUAUAGAUGCCGUAAAAAGAUGUUCAACAUUUACAAUGCAAUAUUGAAUCUGUUUGGCACAGGAAUUUGAUAAAGUUUUAUAGAGCUCUAACAGAUGCUGGUCACUAACAAUCAAGCUUGUACUAUGUGGUAAAAUUCAACUCCCGCAUAAACAAAAGGCCUGCUCUGUUGACCAAACCACAAUAACAAUACUCUGAUGUUUAUUAGGUGGCAGAGAGUGCAUUACAGGCUUAAAUUAAUAAUAUGUACAAGGAAGUACCUGAACAAGAUGCAUGUGUACGGUACCAAUUUUGCUCCAUUUCAAAGAUGCGGUAAAAUCAUUCAAUUUAACAAUACCAGAUAGUUUACUCCUCAGGAUCUCUGGAGUACAUGAAGCAUGAAUGUGCUGCAUUAACAAAAAGCGAGUGGAAAAACAUAAUGAACAACAAGGAAGAAAGGAGCAAGUGCUGAUUUUAAAGGGAGUGCAUGAAAUUAAUCCGAGUACACAGGCAUUUAAUGGAGCGUACCAUUGAUAUGCAGGCAACUGGUAUUACUUCAUCAUCUAUGACAUCAAUUGUCACAUCAGAGUAAACAAUGAUGUCAAUGCCGUUGUUCACAACUGUAAUGAUUGGUUGAGAAGAUACAGUAACAUUAAGAUCCAUAUCCUUGUUUGGAUACUGUUUGUACAGUUGGGGAACAAUGUAUCUCCAUUCAGCGGUGUUCAACAGGGAUUGAUCUGGUAUUUUGUUAAUAAUCCAGUUCAUAUAGUUUGCCUGAACACAUAAAUGAGAAAAAGAUUUCAGCUUCUCUUUGCAAAUUGAAUUAUAUGCUAUAGAAGUGCCAAUCAGGCAAGGCUGAGCCAGUUAGUACUGAGGCAAUUUUUAAUGGGUAUCUUGAAGCCUGGUAACUUAGAUAAUGUGAGAGCAAGCAGUAUACAAAGAAUGGAGAUAACUGAUCACAUAAACGACCAUUUUCAGUAUUUUAUGGGAAAAAACAUAAAAAAUGAAACUUACAUUGAAAUAGACUAAGGACACCGAGUUAAAGACAUCUUCAUGUAAUGAUAUCUCAACCAUCCUAGCUGGAGCACUGCGCGGAAGAGGAUUUAAUGAACCUUUAUGGUCUAAGCUGGAUGUCGAAUCAUCAAUAGGAGUUGUGAAUAGACCAUUGAUCUGAAAUUCAAUGGAAGAAUUACUAAGCACAGGAUUGUCCACCAACGUGACAUUCAAAGAAGCAAUGUCAUCCAGCUCGAUUUGCUUUGGAAGCGAUUGUAGUGACGAGUCAAGCUUCAUUAUUCCCUCAUCGACUUUUUUGGCAAUAUUUUCUUCAACUGCAGAAACUAUUUGCCCACCAAAAGCAUCCACUAACCUGAAAGAAGGUAAGAGGGAUGAGGGAUCAAAGACUUUGAGAAGAAGAUAUUAGACUGGAUACUUACAUGGUCUCGGUUGAUAUAGAGGAAGAUUCCACUACCAAAAGGGGGAAGAGGGAAGGGGGUUGUAAGAACUUUUAACAGAAACAAAGAAGCACAUAAACUCAGUCAAGCAAACUCUAUUAAGAGGAUUGCAUACCCUUGGUAAAGCCAAGAUGCUCCACCGUCUAACUUGAUGGAAAUAUCCUUCACAUAGCAUCCACAAUCCAAAACAGACAGCUUAAGACUUCCUUGUUGGUCCUUCAAAGCUAAGGUAACACCAACUUCCAUACCUUCAACCUUUUGCAGAAGCAACACCACUUUGUUAUAUGUUUAACUCAAUAAAUGGAGGGGGAAAAAGAAGAUUCAGAUUAAUUAGUGAAGAAAAGAAACGGUUAUCUUUACAGGCACAAUAGCAUGUCAGAUACUGGUUCAGGAUUUGAGUCCUUAUCAUAUCUAUUGAAUUUGCGAAGAACCGUUAUCUUUACAAGUACAAUAGCAUGCUACAAGUACAAUAGCAUGCCAUAUACUGGUUCAGAAUUUUAAGUGUUUAUCUGGUACCUAUUUAAUUUGCGAAGAACCGGUUAUCUUUUCAAGUACAAUAGCAUGCCAGAUACUGGUUCAGGAUUUAAAGUCAUAUUUAUCUGUAUCUAUUGAGGUGAAUGCGUCUCAUAUUCUCAUUUGGUAUUCUUAAAUUGCAUCUUAAUUCAAUUAACACAUUACUUUCUUUCAUAACUCCAAGUUCAGUGGAAAUAUCUUAUGCUUCACUUUAAAUGACAUUCACAAACUGUAGCAUAUGUCAGCAUUUGACAACAUAACCAUCUCCCAUACCAUAUGAUUUCUGAUACUUAACUAUAAACAUACUUUCCGCCUAACAAUUCUGUGAAAGCCACUGAUUUUUAAAUCAUAUUAACCAGAAGAACCACAAAAUAAAAUGACCAAUCUUUUACUUUCCCAUUUGGAAAUUCUUUGAUUCUAAUUCAAAACACAAUCCACAGCCAUUAAUGAUAUAAAUCAACAAAAUUGCACAAACUCCAGCCCAGCCACUCCUCACAAGUCAACUCAAGGGGUUAUCUAUUCGUGACUUUGAACUGCACAAAAUCUAUCUCUAGCCUAUGGAACUGAAAUACUGAAAUACAAAUAAGUAAGACAUGCACAACUCAACUCAAGGGGGUUAUGAGGUGAUCCAUAACUAUGAGUUGCACAAACUCUAUUUCAAUCCUACAGAACUAAACUACAAAUUAACCAAGAAAUGCACAACUCAACUCAAGGGAUAUUGAUUUGCCUCUAAAAGUUGUUUAUAUUCUAUAUCAAGCCAACUGGACUGAACUACAAACUUAUGACAAGCAAUAAAUUUUUCGAGAAUACUGUGCUCUACAUUUUCAUAACACAAUGCAAUCAAAGCAAAACCAUAGUUAACAAAGUCCUCCUGGAGUGUCUCCUCAUACCUGAAUAGAGGCGGCCCCAUUAUCCGUAACUUCAAAUAACCAAGUGGUGUAAGAGUACUGCCAAUGCAUACUCAAAUUUGCAGUGGCUCCUGAAGCAACCAAAGCAAUGCCGGAGUCACCGGUCUCCACAUAUGAAGAGGCAAUAUCAACACUAUAUAUUGUGAUAUUGGACAGGGCAACAUCAACUUGACCAAUAAGUGGGAUUUUCACAGACUUUUCAAUUUGAGGCAAUUCAAGUGGAAUUAUAGAGGAGAUUGCCUCUUCUAUCAGCAAGUCCUUGGUAAAGUCGAGGCCUUUACUCGAUAUAACUGCAGAUAUGAAUCCUUCUUCUUGGGCCUUUGUAGGAAUCAGAUAAAGUAACAAAACUGUGAACAUAGUAGUAAAAGCCAUGAACUUUCUGAAGGAACCCAUCUCAGAAAUAGCUAAAUUAUACUACGGUAUUGGAUUGAACCAUUGGGAAGCACAAUUUCAGCAAACACCCAUAAACGAUGUGGAACAAGGUAAUCAAAUUUGGGCUUUUGAUGGAAUCAGAAAAGUGAUAAGACUGUGAACUUUUUGUUAAGGAGCUCAUGUCAGAAAAUAACUAAAUUGUGCUACUGUGACAAGCACCAUGAUAUUAGAAAUGGAUUGAAUCAUUGGAACUCAGGAUUAAAGAAACCCAGAACGCACAGGAGACACUGACACAGAGUAACAAAAUUUAAGGAUAGGACAAGGGAACUUGAGCAGUACCCUCUUAUCUUGGGUUUUUGAAGAAACUGAGUCAGGUAAUCUAUAAUUUGUUUCGUGAUGAACCAGGGAAGCUGCGAAAGCAACAUGUGGGAAUGGAAAUGGAGUGAGUUUUUUUUUUUUUUUUUUUUUUUUUUCGUAUAGAUGAAAUGGAAAGAGCUCUGUGUCAGACGUUCAAUUUGUUGAGGUUUGGCAUUUUCUUCGUUACUGGCCUUCUAUCUGUGCACGGUGUCACAAAAUCACCUCUAAAAUUUAGGGCUGGCAAUUUAGAUCCUGGCGAAACCAACUAACCAUGUACCAACCGUACUAAAUAAAUUGGUAUACCAAACAGUUGGUAACCGAGUGUUCAGUACAGUAGUACCGUACCAAGUUCUUAGAGUCGGUCGGUACGUGGUACAAGUUUUCUCAAAAUACAGUACACCAUGUACCAACCGAGUUUUAUUAAAAAAUAAAAUAAAAUUAAAACUACUAAUACUAGCCGUAGAUUUGUGGAGAUAAAUCUCCAUCAUUGAUCUAACCAUUGACCUAAUCGGCUAAUCCUUAGAGAGUACAGACUUAUUCCCUCAUUCACUUGAAUCACUUCACUUCAGCCUCUCUCGCCAUCGACUGACUUGACUCGGCAGCGCCUCCACUUUGCAGCACCUCGACUCGGCAGCGCCUCCACUCGGCAGCACCUCGACUUCGGUAGCGCCUCCACUUCGCAGCACCUCGACUGAUUCAACGGGGCAGCACCUCGCCUCUCUCGCCGUCGACUCGGCAACACCUCGACUCGGCUCCGUUUGAGAAGCCUUUCGCCAAGCCUUGAAUCUCCAUAUGUAUCAACUUCCUAAUCUCUAUUUUUUUUCAAAAGUUAAAUUUUGUUCUCCAUUUUACUGUCAUUUACUUCUCUUUUCGUAUUAUGUGUUGAUUUUGUUCUCUCUUUGUGUUUGAUAUGGUUAUUGGUUAAGGUACUAUAUUUGAUUGAUAUCAGAAAACGACUUAAUAAUUCCGUCAUAAAAAUUCAAUUUCCCCAGGAUUGCAUAAUCAUGAUAUCAAAGUGACACUCAAUAUGGAUGUCUGGUUCUUUAAUUUCUUGAAAGCAAGUAUUAAUGUGAUCUAUGCAACUAAAAAAACAGGGUGGAAGUAGGAAACAGAGCUCAAUGUGAUUUGAAAUUCAGUGGACUGAAGAGCAUAAGAGAAAGAAAGAUGAGUCCUCCUGGUUAUUUAGGAUGAGUCCUCUUGUUUUGUGUAGUUUUUUAAUUAUCAAAACAUUGUUGUUGCCUGUGAAUAGACCUUAUAUCGUUUUUACCUCUUAACCUGCACCUCCAUGUUUAGUAGUUAAAUUGCAAUGUGAAGUUAUUUACAAGGGACAACAGGACCUUUAAUUUGUUGGGCACUGUGAAUAGUUUCGCAAUUGGACAUUGAGCUGCCAUGUACAUUGGGUUUAUGUUGUUGGUGAUGUAGGUAAAUAGACACUUGAUUUGACCUACAUCAUAUGCUACUGAUUAUUGAUGUGAAACAUGCCAUUUAUAUAUUUUGAGAGUAUCAUACUGAAAGAGUGAAAGUGUCUUUAAAGACUAAAUAAUUGCUGUGUUGUUGUGUUGUUAUAUAAUCAAAAUUCAUGUGUAUAUAUAUUUUAUUUUGUUGUUGUGUUUGCAAGAAUGCUUUUGUCCAAGGCUUUGAGGCAGCAAGAAUGCUUGUGUUUGCAGACGUGUUGUUUAAUUUUCUCAUUUUUCUAUAUAAGACUUUGGACAUUGUUGGCUUGUUGCAUUUGGAAUUAUAUGAUGUGUGAAACUUUGAAUGUGUUUGAAUAGUUUGAUAGUUGAUAAAAGCUUGGUAGAGGCCCAAAAAAAGGAUUCAAAUGAGUUGGGCCUUUCAGUUUGUUGGGUCUCAAUCUAAACUUGGUAGAGGCCCACUACCAACCGUACCAACCGUACCAACUAAGUUGGUAUACCAACUUUGACGGUUGGUAUUGGUACAAGAUUUUGCCUACCAAUCUUAAGUUGGUUGGUACAUGGUAUUGGUAAAUAGAGUUGGUAUACCUACCAAUGUUUUUAUUUUAUUUGGUUAUUAAUUAUGGGACCUCUCAAAAAAUUUCGUCUAGGGCCUCCGAGCACACAGAGCCGGCCCUGAGUAAAUAAUCUACAAUAGGACUCAAGGCCCACAAACUUAUUAAUUCAAGAUGUUAGGCCAUAAACACACCUGGAUCCCAAAUACGGACCCAAAUAGCCUCAAGCCUAACAUCCAAGGCUCAAUUCUCUACAGCCAAUAAGACAGUUCUUUCGAUUUUAAAAAACCGUUGAGCCUCACGACUGGUAAAUACCACAUGCAGAUUAAUGCUGCAUAACUCUUGAAUAGUCUUAACCCCCGACACAAAGUUUGAAGGGACAUGUACAUAUUAAAUUCUAGUCAAACUUAAUACUAAUUAACCUUUCAAAAAAUAAAUACUAAUUAAAGUGAAUGAAUAAUAAACAUAACCUAGAUUGAAUUUCCUACAAAAUCCACCUAAUAAGUGCAUCAACCAUAUGGAUUCAGUGAACCUCGUUCAAAUUCCAGUUUUGCAAAUAUAUUGAAUGUGAGUGCACAGCUAUAAAUAUAGCGCACCUCUAUGUUAGAUCAAUGCAUUGUAUGAAAUCAAACUGUUACAAAGUAAAAUAUUCAAACGCGCUCUCUACAAUCACUAAAAACAAAGCCAAAUAUAAAGAAUCUCCUUAAAAAUAUUUAAAAAAAAUAUAUGAAUUAAUAAUAUUUCCAGCAAAAGCCUUUCAAGUUCACACAUAUGACAUAUACAACAACAACAAAAAAAUACUCAUAUGGAAAUAAAAUUAAAUACAAGAUAAAAAUGUAAUAUAUAUUGACAAAUCAAUUGGGAAUAAAGUAUAAUGGGACAUGAAUAUAUAUUAAUUAAAUUCUCUACACAAAAAAACCACCCCCUGUUUUAGUAAUUGAAUAAAAUAAAUUUUUCAGCAAAUUUAACACAUCAUAUGAUUCAGCGAAUCAUAUCUAUAAUUCCACGUUUGCAAAUACAUUAAAUGUGAAGCACUAUAAAUAGCGAACCUUUAUAUGAAGAAAAGUAUUCUCUCAAACACAGUCAUGGUGUCUUACAUUCACGUCAAUUUACUUGUAUCGUUGCUUUUCUUGUUCCUAACUCUGUGUACAGCUAGUUUGCCAUUAAGAAAAGUUCAUGUUACAAUUGCUAAUGAGUUGGGUGGAGACAUGGUUCUCUUAGCUCAUUGUUGGUCCUUGAACGAUGAUUUGGGUACCCAUCGCCUCGCCCUUCAUGCGUCCUUCAAUUUUUCUUUUCGAACUAGUAUUCUCUUCCCGACAUAUUUUAAGUGUCAAUUUGAUUGGGUAAAUGAUCAACGCCAGGUUAUUCAACACUGGGGAGACAUAUACGACCAAGGCCGAGAUAAGUGUAGAAACUGUUCAUGGAUUAUUCAACCUAACGGACCAUGCAUGCACAACUUUGAUGCUCAUAGCUUGCAUUGUUAUACAUGGGUAAAUUAGAUGCCCUUAGUUUGAAAUGUCAAAACUGGAAAAAAUGACCAGUCAUGUUAUCUUUAUUCGACCAAAAUAAUAAGAAUAAAAUUCAUCUAUUAUAUGAAGUCGAUUAUCCUUUUUUUGAACGAAAGCAAAUUCUCCAGAUAAUGACAAAAAUGUUUUUUUGAAUGACAACCAAUUCUCCUUAUAAACGAAAGUCACAACUGAAAUUAAAAUUUCAGUUAAGUAUUAAUUUGUUAUCGAAGGGUGGUAGAGAGACACUUAUUAAAAUUGUGACUCGAUCGAUUCCUACGUAUACAAUGAGGGUCUUUCAGCUACCGUUGGCUACUCAGCUAUGCCAACAAAAAUUUAUAUACAUGAAUCAACCAUAACGUAGUGUCGUCGUGAAAAGUGAAGUUGUCGUCGCUAAAGACCAAUGGUGAUGUCUAGUCAACGAAAAUUGCCUAUUGAAAAAUUACUAGUGACGGCAACCUAUUGCCCUCUCAAAAAAUUUCGACUUAAAAAUGCCGUUGCAAGUAUCAAUGCGACGCCACCGACCGCUACUAACGUUUUGCGAUGGUUAGAUUGUCGUCAAGAAGGUUUAUAUAUAAAUUAAGAAAGAUAUGGCAUGCAUAUUAGCAUACCAGAUUUUUAAGUUUUUUUUAAAAUUUUUUUUUAUCAAAUACACAAUUAAUGUGUUACAAUACUAUGAGUCGAACUCACGACCUCUCAUUUACAAGGAGAGAUUUAUGCCACUAUACCAAACGGUACUUGGCCUAGAUGUUUAAGUUUUUUAUUUUAUUUUAUAAGGAAUUAAACAUAUCAAUUUUUUUUUCAAGCUGGGUGUCAACCAUUUGAUUAAUUCAAUAGAACUACAUAACAACCAGCCCAUGUGGGGCUUACAAAAGAAGUCAAGUACAUGAGAUAGUUUAACCUUUUAGAGAAUAUGAUGCCCUUACCAAAAUCUAAUCCACACUACCCAAGAAAAAAUAGGCCCAGAUAGCGUGGUUAGCUUUGGUGACACUUAGCCUAAGCAAGUCUAGGGGUCGCAAAUACCCAAGUCAUAUUAACUAGAUAAAACACAAAAUUAAAAUUGCAGAACUAAAUGCAAACGGAGCCUGUAGGCAUAUAUGCCUAACUGGCACACUUUGACAGUGCUUAGGCUAUGCAUAACCGCCAGACUCGCCCGAAUUAGAACUGUUGGAGGCAAGACAGCAGCAACAGCUACAACAUGUCGUUAACCGCUUGACAAUUGGUGUAAGGAGACGCCCGUACGCGCACCACCAAUACCACCCGACAAAGACAGAAAUGGUGGCAUCAAUCCCACAUCGAAGAAGAGAAAAGGUCUCAUACACCUUUAGCUUAUAAAUGGUAACUCCCUCUUUCUUCAUUUGCUAUGCAUUUACUACUUACUUACCAUUAUUCUGUCAACAUCAAUACAUUGACUGACUUAAGCAUUAGAGCGUAGAAGACCGCGGUUGCGCGGUCUCUUCUCUUGACACCACUUUGUAUUCUUAUUGACAGGCUUUCAGAGUUAAGGAUGCUUGCACCGCUCAUCACCAUUUACACACAUAAGUACAAGGGACUAGCAAGCUGCUAAUCCACCGUAUCAACAAAGCCCAUCACUCAGUCCAACAGACCCACCCGGCAAACCCAAGAAGCCAUCUAUGGCACAAGCUGAGACCCAAGGACUUAAGCCCAGGCCUUGCAUUUGCUCUGUGCACCUAGAAAAGUGAGCACCGUCGGCCAUCCAUAGCCAUUGGAAUCUCCCAGCGCCGCCUCAACUCCGCACGCAGUUAGACCGUUGACCGCCUCCCGACACCCAAGGACAAGAGAAUGUAGAAACCCCAAAACCCUAAGCAUCCGACUUUCUUGGACGACUCAGGAACUCUUGGUUAUUCUUCAACUAUGGUAUUCAAUUAGACUAAGAAUGUUGUGGCGAAAAGUUAAAAUUAAGGAAGAUGAAUUUUGUAAUGAUUUCAGUUGGAAUUAAGGUUUGAAAGGUUUUAAAUUUAAGAAUGGUGCAAUAGAUUGUUGUUUUGGAUUCAUAAGAAAAGGUAUAUAUGGUUAAAGCUAUAAACGUAGUGGUUGAGGCCCAUGCAUCUUCUCUACACAACCAAGGUUUGUCCUUGAAUAGGAAUUUGCGGAGCUUUUUGUUUCAAACCCAAUUUGGGAUGUGGGCCACGAGACUAAAGUGUAAAUAUCGGAAGUUUCUUGAGAAUAUUGUGAAAAUCCAGAUAUUAUUAUAACUUAAUUUUUAUAUUCGCUGGGACCUAUUGGGAGUCAUACAAAAUUACUUUUGAAAUAAAUAAAAAAUUAUUAUCUUAUGCAUUUAGCGAGAAACCUAGUAAUAUACAUUUGUCCCGAGUCGGGGACCGGAGAAAUUUAUUAAUUAAUCGAGGUUACUAAUUUAUCGAAGUUUAAUUGUACCUUUUAAUGGAACUCGUAACGGCGUGUAUGGGAGAUAAGUCGGUUUUUAAAUGUAAUAACUAUAGUGAAAAAUGGAAACAUAUAAAAGUUCGGAGCUGUCAAUAAUUCAUGUAAUCUCGGCCCAGGGCUGAGAUUACAGGCCUAAUCCAAAAGCUUGAAUUAAGAGCGCCAUCAUCGUCUCCGAUAACGACAAUUUAACGAGUUACGCCGAGUCCACCAACGUCCCAUCCAUAUUGAAGGCUUGAGACAAAUAACUAAAAUGUGACCUCAUGUAUGGUUUAUUAUAAAUUGAACAAACAUUUUUCCUAUAAUAGAAAUUUUAUGUUUUAUAUUGUAUUAUUGAAUUUUAUAAAUCAAUAAAUUAACCCAAACACAUUAGUAAUGAAAAUGAAAAGGAACAAAAGGAGAAGGUGCUCAGUAACAAAAAUAAUAUAUUUUUUUUAUCAGGUAAAUUACAUCAGCGUGUGUCGAAUUCACAAUCUCCCACUUANNNNNNNNNNNNNNNNNNNNNNNNNNNNNNNNNNNNNNNNNNNNCCUCGAACUUUGCUUACCACUGCACUAUCUCCUGCUUCCAUUUCAAUUCAAAUAUUAUUUUCUUGAGGCAUACAAAAAAAAAAUCGGAGGUCCGCUAGAGACCGGUGACCUGACGCGGCCGCCUCAAGUUGCACCCCUCAUGGCCAGUCUUGGUCCCCAUCCUUCUGAUUCACCUGCUACUUUGAUGACUAGAACUGUCGAUGUGCACAGUUGUUCAAUGGAGAGAGAGACUGGUUGAAAUAAAGAGAGGGUGGGGAAAUGAGACAACACUAUUUUAGUCUUUGAUUAUUUUAUAAUAUGGCAUACCUUUUAACGGAGCUCGUAACAUCAUGUAUGGAAGAUGAGUCGGGUUUAAAGGUUAUGUGCUGUUGUGAAAGUGUCAUUCGAAAUGUACACAAGUUUGGAAGUCAAUAGUGCAUGUAAUGUUUCUAAAAUUUUUCCAUACCUUUCUAAGAAAUAUACACUUUUUUUUUUAUCAAGAAAAGUAACCAUUUAUUAAUUGGAGGAAAGGUUACAAACAUCGGAAUCGAUUUUCACCAAUUCCAUAAGCCAUUCUGGCCCAUGCUCAAUACAGAACAUAUUCUCAUUUUUAUACAAAAUGAAUUUAGUUAAACCAUGAGCAACCUUGUUGCAUUCCCGGGGUUUGAAGGUGACAAAACUUGCACUACAACAUUUUAGCAGGGACUUCACUUCUUCAACUAAGAAACCCUCCCCAGCGAUACAAGUAUCAGAGGCAUUGAUAAGACGCACCGUCUCUGUGCAGUUCAUUUCAACCACCACAGGAAGAGUUCUCAAAUCAAUAGCAAAGCAUAGACCUGCUUUUAAUGCCAUAAGUUCAGUUACCAAUGGAGAGAAAGUACCUACAACUUGUUGAGCAGAAGCUCCCAUAAGCUCUCCUUUCUCGUUUCAGAUCACAACACCAAGCCCUUUUCUUCCGUUUUUAAGAUUCACUGCACCAUCAGUAUUUAGUUUGUACACACCUUCACAUGGAGGUUCCCAAUUACACUCUCUAUUCACUUUAUGCAGCCCCUUGAUUUUGUUAGCCUCCUUAAACACACCCAAAAGAGAACAAGGUUUAGAGAUAAUGCAGCCUGGAGUUUGAUAAUUAAAUUUACCAUGAAGAUGGUCAUUUCUCAACGUCCAAAGCGGCCAAGUUACAUAAGCAAACAAUUCCAUCUCAUCCUUCGGCAUAUGACGAACCAACUCUUUACACCAACUAGCAAAAGUAGAGUGACUCUUUCUAGAAUCUUUCCAAAUGGAUUUCUUCCAAACUCUCCGACUAAAUUCACACUCAGCAUGAAAAGUUGUCUCAGCUUUAGUACCACAUCUGGAGCAGCAAGGGUUAUUUGUAAUCUUUCUUUGAUAAAGAUUAAAGGUACUUGGAAGGAUGUCAUGGACUGCUCUCCACAAAAAAAGCUUGAUCUUAUUGGGAAUUUGAAAUCCCCACAUAACUCUCCAGAACUUCCUAUUAGCUUCAUUACUUGAAGCUUCACCGAUAUUUGAGAGAGUUUUCUCCAUCUCCACUACGAGCUUGUAGCCAGAAUUACAGUGUACCUACCAUUUAAAAAAAAAAAAAACCAUCUCCUCUGAUCACUCUCAUUCCUCUUUCCUGUUGGAAUACCAAUGAUAAGGUAUGCUUCAUCUUUGUUGAAAUUGUUGUAAAUGAAAGGAAUGUUCCAUUUACCAGAAGGCAGAAAUAAUUCAUUCACAGUAGCAGAGGGAUUGAGGAUCGUUGGACUCUAGAUUUUGAACAGUGAGGGUCUAGGAACCCAUUUAUCAAGGUAGAUACAUGUUGUUUCCCCAUUGCCAAUGCGUCGAAUGCAUCCUUUCUCCACUAAUUCUCUUCCCCACAUAAUGGAACGCCAAACAAAGGAGGGAUUGCUUCCCAUAUUUGCUUGCAAGAAUGAGUUGUUAGGAUAAUAUCGGGCUUUUAGAACUUGGGCAGCCAACGAGUUUGAAAAUUCAAUCAAUCUCUAGGCUUGUUUACCAACCAUAGCUUGAUUGAACUUUCCAAACUCCCUAAACCCCAGGCCCCCACAUUCUUUGGCCUUACAUAAAAACUGCCACUUCUUCCAAUGAACCCCCCUUCCUCCUUUCUUUCCCCACCAAAACUUAGCCACCACUGCAUUCAGUUCAUCACAAAGGCCAAGAGGAAGCUUAAACACACUCAUUGAGUAGGUUGGGACAGCUUGGAGAACUGCUUUUACUAAUACUUCUUUGCCAGCUAGGGAGAGUAGAUUACUGUGCCAUCCUUCCACCCGGUUUUUGACUCUUUCCCUCACCUUCCUCAAAAUUUUACCCUUAUCCCUCCCUAAAAAAGUUGGAAGGCCAAGGUAUUUCUCAUGGUACGCAACCAGUUUCAUCCCCAUUUCAUUACUCAACAGAAUCUUCUCUUCUUCACUUGUGCUCGGGCUAAACGAGAUAGCAGACUUUCCAUAAUUAAUUUUUUGUCUAGAAGCUACUUCAUAUAUACUUAGAAUUUCCUUGAGCCGCUUGCACUCACUCAUUGUUGCAUCACCAAAAAUCAGAUUAUCAUCGGCGAAAAACAAGUGAUUAAUGGGAGGAGCUCAAUCAGCCACUUUUACGCCAUGAAUACCUCCAGUUUCUUCUUCCCUUCAGAGCAAAUCUGAUAAGCCCUCUGCACAAAUUAGAAAUAGAUAAGGGGAGAGAGGAUCCCCUUGCCUUAAUCCUCUUUGUGGAUAGAUAAAACCUUUAGGCUCCCUGUUGCAAUUUACAGAGUAACUAACAGUUGAAAUACAAUCUAUCAUUAGUGAAAUCCACCUUUCCCUAAAACCCAUCUUCUCCAUCACCUUCGCCAGAAAACCCCAUUCCACCCUAUCGUAAGCCUUAGCCAUGUCAAGCUUGAGGGUCAUCUUCUUCCUUCCGUUCUUUCCCCUCAUUUUAACAGCAAAAAUGGACUCAUGAGCUAAGAUGAUGUUAUCAGUGAUUAGUCUCUUUGGAACGAAGGCACUUUGAAACUCUGAGAUAAUAGAAGGGAGGACAACUUUUAGAUGGUUUCCUAAGGUUUUUGAAAUGAGUUUGUAGAUGACAUUGCACAAACUUAUAGGCCUAUACUCUGUCACAAACUGAGGAUCAUUUGUUUUUGGGAUAAAGGCAAUUAGAGUGUGGUUAAACUCCCUAACACUGCCACCACCAUUCAACACUUUCAAACAAGCCUCAACCACCUCCUUCUUCACCACAUUCCAAUAUGUCUGGUAAAAAAGCGCAGGCAUCCCAUCACAGCCCGGAGCUUUGAGAGGGUACAUCUGAUGUAAAGAGUACUCAAUAUCAUCUUGAUUAAAGGGUCUGCACAAAUCAUCAUCAACAACUAGAGAAAUGACACUAACAAAUAUGGAUCUGUUCCUUCAUAUUCCGAGGUAAAAAGCUUGGUAAAAUACUCCUAAAAAAUCUUUGCGAUUGUUUCUCCAUCUUCCUGCCAGUUUCCAUUCUCAUCCCUCACUCCAGUGAUUAGGUUCUUCCUCCCCCUUUUCCUUGCAGCUUCAUGAAAAAAUUUGGAGUUUCUGUCUCCCCCCUUUAACCAAUCGACUCUGCUUCGUUGCUUCUAAAUGGCUUCUUUUUGCUCAAGGAGUUCAUCAAGCUUGUUUGCCAACGAAUCUAGUUACUCGUCAGCCUCAUUGGAACUAGUUUGAUUCUGGACUACCUUCACCUUAUCUUAAACUUUUCUAAUCUGAGAGGGGAUGUGACCAAAAGUUUGGUUACUCCAAUUCAAGAGACUAUUAGAAACAACAUUCAAUUUCUGAUUAACAUUGCCUUCCCCCUCCCAAGCCUUCUUAAUAGCUUCCUCGCAACCUUCAUGGUCUUUCCAAAAGCUCUCAAAGAAGAAUCUUCUUUUUCUCUUUACCCACUUCCAUUUCCCAGCUUGCUCCCCCAAUUCAAUAAAGAUUGGUAAAUGAUCAAAAGUUCUAAAAGCAAGGUGACGAAUACGAAUGUGAUUAAAUAAGUUAGAGCAAUCAGAGUUCACAAAAGCCCUGUCUAACCUUUCUUUCACGUUGUCACCUCCUUUUCUUCUGUUAUCCCAAGUAAACUUACCCCCAACAACAUCCACUUCUCUGAGAUCACAACUGUCGAUUGCCUCUUGAAAGUCGAGCAUUUGGCAAAGGGAUCUGAAUCUCUUCCCUGUUUUCUCUUCAUCCCUGAGAAUCUCAUUGAAAUCUCUACCAACGAUCCAAGGCUCACUACUGACCCUUGCCAGCCGACGCAACAACUCCCAAGAUUGAAAUCUGAGUCUAGAACAUGGAUUACCAUAGAAACCAGUAAAUCUGCAUGAAACAUUGUUGUUGAUUGUGACUCUCGCAUCGAUAUGACCGGUUGAAGAGGAGAUAAUUUUCACCUUCCAAUCAUUCCUCCACAGUAAGGCCAAUCCACCUCCUCUAUUAAUACUUUUGUUAACUGAAAAACACCCAAAAGACCCAUCUAGCUUUCUCAAUACACCAUCCAUCUGAUCAACAUUCUUCCUAGUUUCCAUAAUGAGAACUAAGUCCGGCCUUCUUUCCCUGAGAAUUUCACUCAAGGCUCUUAACGUUCGAGGGGUGCCAAGUCCCCGAACGUUCCAGCACAAAACUAACAUUGCUCGUGAUGGGUUUGAAAAUCGGAACCCAUCACGGUGUCAGCCAUACAAGUAUCAGAUUCAGUAACUUUAGAGGUCUCCAUCGCAGGGGCAGAUGGAUUAACUACUUUCUUUGCCGAUUUCUUUUCUUCCAGAAUGGUAACAGAGAGAUGAAUAGGGUUUGUUACAGUUGAACAAAAGGGGUUGCUGCCCAAUCUUGCACGUGCCUUCCAAUUUAAAAGUACACGUGCUUUAUUAGAUCCAUCCACAUCAAUACCAAUGGGCUUUUUCUUAACGGACCUCACUUUUUCUUUGGCAGCCCCAUUACUAGGCCCACCUGAAGAAGUUGGGCUUGUCUUGGAUUUGGGAAGAGAAGUGGGUCCAGCGAUGGGCGAGUUCUUUUGAGACAAUGACUUCUCUUUACCAGCCAAGCUGCAUACCUUAACAUUGUUGAACUUCUCUUUUCUCCCUACCGUGCCAGAGACACAUGGGAUAGCUUCCUCGUCAAGACAUCAGAACCAUUCAACACCGUCGAAGUCAGAACAUGAUCAUUGUUUUUUAUUGUUCCCUCCACGGUACCCUCUGACGAGUCCGCAUCAGUCACCGCUUUAGACUCAGAACUCCCUUCUCUGGUACAAAUCUCCAUACUUGACCCAUGUGGCUUUGUAGAGAUUAUAACCUGCUUUUCUCCAAUGCGACGUCUCUUUUGUCUUGGAAUUGACAGUAGGACCCCUGUUUCCCGUUGGGAGGAAGUCCCAUUGGGAAGCUCCCCACUUGACCCGACCCCAUGAACCGGGUCCUGUACCGGAUCCUAUUCAAAGGACUCUCUUGAUCUAACAAAACCAGAGACUGAAUCAAAAAAUUCCGGCGCCAUAAGCGAGCAAGCUGGUUUCAUUGGCUCAAAGAAAUGUUGGUGAUGUCGGGAAUUGAAGAUUUGGCCCUUCAUGCUCUGCUCUUAGGAAGUCUCCAAAUUGCCUUUGCUGGGCGAGAUUCAGAGAGCUGCUCCGUUUAUUGCACUCACCUUCAAUAUGAUCAAGGUGACCACAAAUAAAGCAGGAAUUCAGAAGUCUUUCAUACCUGAUAUCAUAAAACCUUGACCUAUCAUUGAUCAUGAGCUUGAUAAAUCGUUUAAGAGGCUUCAAAACAUCAAUUCCCACCCGACUCGUAAGUACUCUAUUACGCAGACCCCCUCAUCACCAGGGUCAGUCCAUCUGUAAUGGCCUAGGCAUCUGUCAGCAAGCUUUCCAACUCCGAUUGUCAUAUCAUCAGGAUCAAGGCCAUGAACUUGUACCCAGAAGUUUUCCACUGUCAAUGGGAUUGAAGUCAGGCUACCCAUUCCAUUGGCAUCAGCUAACACCAUUAAAGCUUUAUCAAAGGACCAAGGACAACCUUUUAAUAUCCUGGCUUUGAUAGCUUCAGAGGAGACUUCAAAGAUCAGUUUGCCAUCACCCAAACCACCAACACGAAGGCCAUUAUCUUUCCAAACAUUCUUGAAAAUCUUUAGAAGACCUCCUCUGCAAAUGGGCUUCCGGCUCAGAACCUGACCAACCAGUAAAUGUCUGGUUUGUCUAGCACCAUCACUAUCAGAUUCUAGAACAAAUUGUUUGCAAAACGGCCAACUAGUUCUUCCAUUCUUGAGAAGAACCACACGAGCACUAGCUCCCACACUUUAAUGAACGAGGAACUACCGUACAUAAGCAAAGGACAGGAGAAUUGAAAGCACUGGAACGGUUGAGAGAUGGGGUAGGUGGAGAUAUGGGGCUGAAGAAGAAUUGGAUGGUCUAGAUAGAUAUGAUUUAUGGAUAUGGUGGGUUGGAAAGGAUUAAUUAAGGAAUUGAUAGAUGGAAGUAAAUAUAGCAAAUCACAUAUACAUCCUCUAAAAGGAUCUGAAACACAAAUAAAUCCACUUGUGUUGUUGUUAAACAAAUAAGGACAAUUUUUAACAAAUAAGGAUAAAUUCUUUUCUGCUUGCCAUGUGUCAUGGUUUAAUUUACUAAAUUGACCUUACACAAAAUAAAUCAAAUUAAAUUAGCCCCACCAUGUAUUGUUUUAACUGCUAUUGCACCUUGCUAGAAUGUUACUGCUACUACACUUCCAAUAAAUGCAGUAGCAGAUUUUUAGUGGUUCAGUUAGUAUAAUAGUAGCUUCGGUAACUACAGUAGCAGGUUUUCAGUGGCUUAACUAAUGUAGUAGCAGCAUGUUUUACUGGAGAGUUAGCUGCUACUACACUUCCAACAAAUGUAGUAGCAGGGUUUUAAUGGUUCAGCUAGUGUAGUAACAGCUUCAGUAAGUGUAGUAACAUGUUUUUAGUGGCUCAGCAAAUGUAGUAGUAGUAGCAGCAACAGCUAUUUUCAGUGCUAUUUUGCACUUGUUGGAAUGUUCUUGUUACUACACUUCCAAUAAAUACAGUAACAGAUUUUUAGUGGUUCAGUUAGUGUAGUAGCAGCUUCAGUAACUACAGUAGCAGGUUUACAGUGGCUCAACUAAUAUAGUAGCAUGUUUUACUAGAGAGUUAGCUGCUACUACACUUCCAACAAAUGUAGUAGCAGGGUUUUAAUGGUUCAGCUAGUGUAGUAGCAGCUUCAGUAAGUGUAGUAACAGGUUUUUAGUGCCUCAACAAAUGUAGCAGCAACAACUAUUUUCAGUACGUGCUAUAGUAGCAAAUUUUUAUUGGUUCGGCUAGUGUAGUAGCAUGUUCAGUAAAUGCAUUAUUGACAGAAAAAUUCAUUUAUAACUACUACUAUUGAUAGGGAAAGUUCAUUUAUGAAUUAUGUUACUAUUCGGUUCUACUACAUCACUCGGUUUUUUUGUUUGUUUUCUACUACACUCGAUGUCCUCUUGUUGUAGUUAUGUUACUGCACUCAUGUUUUUCAAGUUUCUGCUACUACAUGAAGAUUAAUUGAGCAUCAUCCCAAACCGUUGGCUGUUCCAACUGGCGAGCCGGUCAGGGUUCAAGCGUCGGCCGUCUUCGAGCGCCGCGGUGCUGGCCAUCGUUGAGCGUUGAAGUGACGUCGCCGACACUGAGGGUCUUCCUGCUGCUGCUGAACGAACUGAAGUAGUAUGUAAUACAAAGUUCUGAGCAAAUUAUUUACAAUACAAGAAUCACAAUUAGACAUAAUGUAGCCACAAUCGAAUUCACAAAAAUAACAAUCACUACCAGAAGAAAGGUUUUAGCCACGAAAAUAAAAAAACCAAGCCGACGAAUUAUUUUUUUGUCGGCUAAAGUCCACGUUAGCCGACAAAAUUUUCCUUCGUCGGCUAAUUUAAAUUUUCGUUGGCUAAAAUUUCGUCGGCUAAAAAAGUUUUUCGUCGACUAUAGUCUAUGAACUUUAGCCGACGACUUUAAAAAUUCUUUAGCCGACGAAAUUUUAAUUUCGUCGGCUAAAGUGCCUUAUAUUUGCAGAUCUGGACAGCAGCUCAUCUAGGAAAAAAAAACAGGAGAAAAAGUUUGGGUGUUGUCGAAAUCUGUCCAUAAUUAGUUUGUGGAGCUAUAUAUAGGUACGUAUAUGUGUAUAUAUGUUGAUUUUGCGCUUUAUUUGAGUUGAUCGAUUUUGAGUACGUUGGAUGUAUAUAUAUAUAUAUGUGUUGAUCGAUUUGGUGGAUGAUUUGAUAAUAUAUAUGAAGUUGUUGUUAAUAAGUAGUAGAUAUAUAUAUAUAUAUAUAUAUAUGUUAAUUAAUAUACAUAUUGUGUUGAUGGUAUGAAGUUGUUGAUGAUGAUUUUGUGAUGACGUUGAUAUAUAUAUAUAUAUAAUAUUGUUAUGUAAUUAUUAAGUAUAUAUAUAUGUGUUAAUUAAUUUGUUAUUAAUUAGUUGUAGUACGUAGAAUACUAAAUGAAUUGAGAUUUUAUAUAUGAAAUUUAAUUAAUAAUUAGCUAGAGUUAUACAUAUAUAUUUUGUUAUAUUUUCAAGAUAUGGAUAAGAGUUGGAUUUCGCUUCUAAAAUGGGACAAAAGAUAUGGUAAAGGAGUUAUGAGUUUUUUGGAAUAUGCGCUGGCUAAUGCUAACAGGAAUACAAUUUUCUAUUGCCCGUGCACGAAAUGUCAGUGUCGCAACGAUAUGCAUUGAUUUGCGAUUGAUAAAGUAUGGCAGCACCUGAAAAGUAACGGGUUUUGGGAGAAGUACACAUGUUGGUUAUAUCACGGUGAAAUAUCAUCAGGUGGUUCGCAUGAUCAUAGGCAAUUUUCUGAGACGGGCAGUACAUCCAACGAUCCAACAACGGUCUUCAUCAACGACAUCUUUCCUUAUGAGAGCGGUGUAUGCGCUCAAGGACAGUAUAUGCCUGAGCUGGUGCAGCCCUUCCCUAGAGUUGUCAACACUGCUAGUAUUGACAAGUACAACAAACUGUUUACUUUCCAACAGACCCAUGUGUACCCCGGUUGUCAGAAGACCGUUCUUGAAAGUGUAAUGGACGUAAUGAAGAUUAAAGUUGAGACAAAAAGGCUGUUGAUGAUUAUCUACAGUACACUGCUUCAAUGCUGCCCCACGGUCAUCGUUUUCCUACCACUCAUCAUAGGUCCGAUUUAUCCUGAAAGAUCUUGGGCUUUCCUACAUCAAGAUCCAUGCAUGCAGAUAUGACUGCGUUCUCUUCUAGGGUAAAGAUCCAGAAGGGAAUGACCUUGGUGGCCUUGACGCAUGUCUAGUAUGUUACACUGACAGGUAUAAGCUGAGUCAUGUAGGCAAUAGGAAACCUGUGAAGGUACUUCGGUAUUUCCUGUUGAGGGAUAGGUUGGAGUGGUUGUACAUGUCUUCACACACAGCCAAAGCUAUGAGAUGGCACACUGAUAGGGAAUUGCAUGACGAAGAAACCCUUAUACACCCUGCUGACGGGGAGGCUUGGAAGCAUAUAGAUAGGGAGUUUCCUCAUUUUGCGUCAGAGGUCCGAAAUGUGAGAUAUUGCACGAGAUAUUCUAGAUGCAUGUCAUGGUUGUUGGUACCAUCAGUGAUUUUUCUGCCCGUGGGAUGUUGUCGGGCAACGUUGUUAGGGGAUACAAGGCUUGUCCAAAGUGCCUUAGCGAUGAGGGGAGCAGUCAUUGCAACAAAAUAUGCAAAUUGGGUCACCGUACUCUCCUUCCAUAUAAUCACGAAUGGUGGUUCGAUUACAAAGCAUUUGAUGGGACCGUAGAAAACGGUGUGCGUACCAGAAGAUGGACAGGGGAAGAAAUUUUAGCAGUGCUUAAUGAGUACGAUUUUGGGCAACUCAGCAAUCAUCCCAAUAUUGUAGCGGCAAUACCUGAAAGACCCGACACGUACAAAUUCUCGGAACUCUCAUACUGGAGUAAGUUGUUGAUCAGGCACUACCAAGAUAUGAUGCACAUAGAAAAGAAUGUUUACGACAGUGUGGUGGGCACAGUGCUGAACUUGGAGGGGAAGACGAAAGACGGUCCUAAGGCACGCAUUGAUCUAAAAAAAAUGCUUAUAAGAAGACAUUUGUGGUUGAAAGAAGGGAAGAAAAAAAUGCCUCAAGCUCCUUACACCGUGAAGCCUGACCAGAAGAACGUAAUUUUCAAAUGGAUGAGUUGUGUGAAGUAUCCUUCAGGCUAUGCAGGAAAUAUAGCCCGAUGUGUGAACUUCCGGGACAAUAAGAUGUACAGGUUGAAGAGUCAUGACUCUCAUAUCCUGCUACAACGUCUCUUCCCUGUUUUCAUUCAACCGUUCAUUCCCCGUCAGAUGGUGGAGCUGUUAGUAGCGUUGGCAAGAUUCUUCCAAAAGUUAUGCACACGGGAAGUGAAAAAAUCUAACCUCCGGGAAAUGCAAGAGGACAUCAUUUAUAUCAUGUGUAAAUUUGAGAGGAUAUUUCCUCCAAAUUUUUUUGACAUCAUGCCUCACCUGAUAAUCCAUCUUCCCGAGCAAUUGUUGCUUAUCGGUCCAGUACACUACACUUGGAUGUAUCCCAUGGAAAGGUACGUUUUUUACACCUGAAUUCCUCAAUAUACAUGUUCAAUAAUCAUAACACUUUACAACUUGAUUUAUAAGGAAUUUGGAGACUACAAAGAUUAUGUGGCUAAUAAAUCCACGCCUGAAGGAUGUAUAGCUGAAGCAUAUAUUACGCACGAGUGCGUCACCUACAUGAAGUUGUAUUUAUGAGCGUUGAAGGAAACUCCGCAAAAAGCUCAGGGAAGUGAAUCUCUCCUGGAACUCUAUAACACCCUCAUCAUCCCUCUUCUUCAUAUUCAGGAAAUCCGACUGAAUUCUGCUGCGGUGGGCAGGACUGAAAUAUUGCCCCAAGAAGAGAGUCUUAAACUGCUCCCACGACAUAUUCAGCGCAUCCUCAACAUUCCUGCUGGCAAGCGACCACCAGUGAUGUGCUGAAUCAUCCAGGAAAGUUACUGCCAUCUUCACCUUCCUUUCUUCUGGCAACUCUGAGCUCGCAAAAGCCUUUUCCAUUUUUGUCCACCCAAGUAUAAGCAUCGAGGGGUCCCUUGGCACCCUUGAACUCUCUUGCUCCAGCCUCAUAAACUUCUCUCCUCUUCACUGUAUGAGGUUGUGGAGCUCGAUCCAUGACAUCCCUUAGCAUAUUCCCAAUAUCAUCAACUAGUCCCCUGACCUCAUUGCCCUCAUCGGCAUUGGUCGAAGUAGCCACACGAGGUUGCCGUGAGCGCCUAGGAGGCAUAGUACCUGAGGAAAAAGAUAUUUAGUAGUCCAUAAACAAGACUAACACAAUUAUCACACAUACCCAAUAACACAUAGCAUCAAAAGCAUAAAAUGCCAAUGAAUCCGCCGCGGUCGGAUCAUCACUCUAUAGACACUACAUGCUACUUAGGCAAAUGUGAUAGUGACAAGGAAGCAGGAAAAGGAAACCUAUAGCUCUGAUACCAACUAACACGACCCACCCCGAAUUUCACCCUGAAACCCAGAGUAAGUCGUGCGGGGACCACCUCCAAGGAAAAUUUACUGAAAAGAUUAAGAAAAUCUCCCUUGCAGAUGGACAACCCUAACUCAAAAAUUUCAUAUUACACUCUUAAUUUAACACUUCUGAAAAUCACAAAAUAUACAAAAAUUCUAAAGUAUUCAGAGCUACUAAACACAAGCGGAAGCAAGAAAACACGAGUAGGUUGAACAGGUAACCUACUGGCGAAAACUGGCAGAAAUGCGGGUGACUAUGCCUCGUCUCCUACUAGAUCCAACCCGAACUCUGCAGACUGGGCAAUUUAAAACGAAGGGCCCAGGGAAAAACAUUUAAUAACGUUAGAGUGAGUGGACAAAAUAAAAUAAAUAAAAUAUUUAUGUUUCCCCAAAUUAACUUCUAAGGAAAAAUCGAAUGCAUGCCGCAAGCGAUAAAACUUUUAUCCCNNNNNNNNNNNNNNNNNNNNNNNNNNNNNNNNNNNNNNNNNNNNNNNNNNNNNNNNNNNNNNNNNNNNNNNNNNNNNNNNNNNNNNNNNNNNNNNNNNNNNNNNNNNNNNNNNNNNNNNNNNNNNNNNNNNNNNNNNNNNNNNNNNNNNNNNNNNNNNNNNNNNNNNNNNNNNNNNNNNNNNNNNNNNNNNNNNNNNNNNNNNNNNNNNNNNNNNNNNNNNNNNNNNNNNNNNNNNNNNNNNNNNNNNNNNNNNNNNNNNNNNNNNNNNNNNNNNNNNNNNNNNNNNNNNNNNNNNNNNNNNNNNNNNNNNNNNNNNNNNNNNNNNNNNNNNNNNNNNNNNNNNNNNNNNNNNNNNNNNNNNNNNNNNNNNNNNNNNNNNNNNNNNNNNNNNNNNNNNNNNNNNNNNNNNNNNNNNNNNNNNNNNNNNNNNNNNNNNNNNNNNNNNNNNNNNNNNNNNNNNNNNNNNNNNNNNNNNNNNNNNNNNNNNNNNNNNNNNNNNNNNNNNNNNNNNNNNNNNNNNNNNNNNNNNNNNNNNNNNNNNNNNNNNNNNNNNNNNNNNNNNNNNNNNNNNNNNNNNNNNNNNNNNNNNNNNNNNNNNNNNNNNNNNNNNNNNNNNNNNNNNNNNNNNNNNNNNNNNNNNNNNNNNNNNNNNNNNNNNNNNNNNNNNNNNNNNNNNNNNNNNNNNNNNNNNNNNNNNNNNNNNNNNNNNNNNNAAAUUUACCAUUUUUACCGUCGUCGUAUUUUCCUACAUACUAAUAAUCCUCCGCACAUAAUCGUCCCCGAAACCCCUCUAGGGACCAAUUAAACUAUUUACUCAAUGAUCGAGACGGUAAAAUUCUUAUUAUAAUCACGCUAGUAAAUAAGGUAAAAAUAUAAGGGUCGGGAUGUGACAAUUCUCCCCUCCUUAUAAAAAUUAAACUAUAAGUGUUUUAUCUUGAUGAGCUUGCUAAGGGUGACGCGUGGAAAGUAGUCAACCUUAUGCACCCUCGAAACAUUUACCCGGCGGCUAUACUUGGAGGGGCCGAAGACGAGGAAGAAGAUGUUGCGUAUCAAGAGCCCAACGCAAUAGGUAUUCCUAACUUCUCUACCGUUCACCUUAAUAAUUUUAAAACGGGUCGUUCGGUGCGAAUUCGUGAUGAAGAGCCAAGACUUAUUGAUGUUGAUCCAAAUCAAGAAACAGACGAAGACUCUGGUGAUGAUGAAAGACAUAGAUUACCAGAAAUUAAUUCUGACACCGAAGAAGACUCAUCGGAUGAUUCCGAUUACGAGCCUUAGUUUUAAUUUAGAGGACGUAAUCCAUUAAUUUGUAAUAAAAAAGAAUGUAUCACCUUUAUAGUUUACAUAUGUUGAAUUCAUAUUUUUGUUAUUUUAUAUGAAUUUUGGUGAUAUAUGAACAGGAAGGUAGUAUGGUUUACAUUAAUGUUUUAUUAAUGUAUUUUUUAUACUUUAGCCGACGAAAUAUACCAUAAUUCGUUGGCUUAAACAAUCUUCGCCGACGAAUUAUAGUAUAUUUUGUCGGCUAAAACCAUCUUAAAUAAGUCAUAAUUCGUCGGCUAAGAUGCGGUUAGCCGACGAAUACCCUAAUAUUUCGUCGGCUAAACCCUAAACCCUAAACCUUAGCCGACGAAUACCCUAAUAUACGACUUGUUGCGUCUCAACGAUUUGAAACUAUUUUCAGUUGAAGGUCCGGCCAAAAUACGUAAUUUAGACGGUCCAAUGACCUUUUCCGUGCGUUUAGGGGUUUGACUUACGGGAUUGACCGUCCGGAUCAAGCCCUUAACCUUGUCGGAUCAAGUUGAAUUUUUUCCCAUACAUGUAUUUUAUCAUGAUGAUCAAAUCUGACGGUCAGAUUUUUCGUUUCUCAAGUUUGAUCAUCACAAUCACAACAUGCCUACUAAUGUUGUAUAACUUGUUUACUUAGUGUUAAGUAAAUGUUCCGUUUCAAAAACAAACUAUACGUAGAACCUUCAAACGCAAAAAAGUGCUGAGAUAAGAUAUGACCAGAAUGGUGAAAUACGUCUACGGUUGAAAAAUCACGGUAUUCCGGUAAAGUCUCGGUGCCGAUAGUUGCGUUCAAUGCAAUUUUCCAUUCUUUCUCCCUAUGGGUAGCCCUAUCUUCGGUGGUUAAUUUCCGUAAAAUUUUUAUACAACUUGUUGCGUCUCAUCGAUUUGAAACUAUUUUUAGUUGAAGGUCCGGCCAAAAUACGUAAUUUAGACGGUUCAAUGACCUUUUCCGUGCGUUUAGUGGUUUGACUUACGGGAUUGACUGUCCGGAUCGUGCCCUUAACCUUGUCGGAUCAAGUUGAAUUUUUUCCCAUACAUGUAUUUUAUCAUGGUGGUCAGAUCUGACGGUCGGAUUUUCGUUUCUCAAGUUUGAUAAAAUAAAUAAAACAAAUAAAUUGAAAAUAUUAAAUAAAAAGUACUAUAGCCGACGAAUUUCAUUACUUUAGCCGACGAGAUUCACAGGUUUAGCCGACAAAUUUCAAAGGUUAGCCGACAAAUUUCAAAGGUUAGCCGACGAAUUUCAAAGGUUUAGCCGACGAAGUUUAAAGGUUAGCCGACAAAUUUCAAAUGUUAGCCGACGAAGUAAAAUUUUCGUCGGCUAAAGUUAUAGGGUAUAUAAUUACCCAGCGCUCGACAGCCUCCACAACACCCCCAUAAACCCUAAAAAACCCAGCGCUCAUCUUCGUUUUCACUUCCAGGGUCGAAACACCUCUGCAGUCUGCUCGCCGUCGUUCGUCUCCUCGCUGUGACGUCGUCGUCUGCUCGGCUGCUCGCCGUUGUUGGCUCAUCUUCUCGCCCAUCGUUGGCGCCUGCUCGACUGCUCCGCCUGCUCGGUGCCCGUCGCCUGCUCUGCUGACUGUUGCUCGCUGUCCGUCGCCUGCUCUGUUGCUCUGCUCCUGCUCGGCUGCAGAUUACUGAGACCAGGUCCAACUGUGUAUUCUUAAUUCUUAUUACUUGUGUUCCUUCUGGGUAUUUGUGUUCACUGAGACCAUUGUAUUUGUGUUCCUUCUGUGUUUCUGUGGAUAUCUUGUAGCUUGGGUAUUGAAACUAGUUGUCAUAAGCUGUUUUGAGUUGUGCUGGAAGUGUUGUAAAAGUUAAUGGUGAUAGGUCUAGCCGUCUAAAUGUGGUGUAGGGUAGUUGGUGGUGUGCUUUUUUGUUUCUAUGGAUAUCUUGUAGUUUGGGUAUUGAAACUAGUUGUGAUAUGGAUAAAAUAAUUCUCAUGACAGAUGAGGAUUGAAUGAGUCUAAAGCUUAAAACCUUAAAUUUGUGGUGUGCUCCAAGAACGCAGUACUUGAGAGCUUUGAUUUGACAGUAGUUUGUUGCACCUUGUAUGUGCAAUUGCAUAACCUAGGUGAUACCGACUGUCAGGAUGAGCGGUAAUUUUAGAUUGACGAAGGGUUCGAAAGGCCAAAGGUCCGAAUCGUCUAAAGAAACAUCUAGCAACCCUGAAACGUCAUUUCGGGGCCCCAUGACAACCAGACGUGCGACCCUUCUGGAGACGACGCAGAGGCAGCUGAGCGUUUCCCAUUCCUCGAGGCAGUCGGGCGUCCCUCAUUCCUCGAGGCAGCUGUGGCCUCAGACCCAGACGGAGGUGUCUGCACCCUGUAUGCCUGAGAUACACCGGGCGCCCACUCUGGGUCCUACUGCUUCGGAUGGUGGGUCAGAUAGGGUACCGAUGCCGCCGCCUCAUCUGUUUCUUCCGCGGAUGAUACCGGCUUUACCUGCAGUCGAUGGCUCAAGGAUGCCGAUUUAUCCACUGCCUCCACCAGUGGCUCCAUCAGUGGCGUACCGGUUCGUGCCUUUUGAUACGCCUCUUAUUUCCGCAAGGGUAUCAUCAUCGACGACAGAGACGGAAUCCGUCGCGUCCGCCGCAUCGCCCUCAGGUAAUGAAAGAUGAAUGAUUUGUUUUCUUAUAAUUAAUAAUAAAGGGUCUCCGAUUUUAAUAAUCAAUUUGGUUUAUCAUGUGAUAGGCACCGUCAGAGCGAAGCCGAUAAAGAAGAAGAGAGGCCCCGUCACAGGGAAGGCUCUCUAGAAGACCGUCAAUACCUCAAGGAGGAUCGUCAUCGGUACCGACGGGGAUGGCCACAUAGUAUCGGGGGGGGGGGAAAUCGAGGACGUACUCCGGCCGCGUGGGAGCGCUCAUUAGGGAUAGAGUCCCUAUGUUGUGGUCAGACUGGGGCGAGGUCCCGCAGGAGGUUUAGGACAUGGUCCACAACGCGAUGUCGGUGAGUUUACAAAAUGCCUCAAUAAUAUUAUGUAUUACAUUGUUGAUUUCUCGAAAAACUAAACUAAUAAACGGUUAAAUGCAGGUGUGGUUGGACAUUCCCAAGCACCUGAAGAACAGCUGGGCGGACGUUGUGCACAGGGGAAGGUACGUUGGGAAGUUAAUGAAAAAAAAAAAUUGUAUGUGAUAUUAAUAAUAGAAUUAAUUACUGGUCACUCCAUUAACUUUCAUGCGCUCGACAGUUUACUCCAUUAACUUUCAAUUUCAAUCGAUUACUCCAUUAAUUAUCCAAUGUCACACAAUUAGGUCCAUCCGUUAAGUGGCCGUCCAAAUCAGUGGUUAAGUUGCUGACUGGACAUAUUUUUCAACUGAAAAUUUCAUUUAACACCCUCCCUCCCUCCCUCCUUAAUCUCUUCAAUCUCUUCUCUCUCCUCCUCCACCUCCUCUGUAACCACAACGCCACCACAUCACCUGUUGGACCUUCAACAACACCGCAACAACAAUACCAGCAACCAACCAACCACACCACCAGCAACCAACCACAUCAACACCGUAAUCAAACACAUCGUAACCAGACCACCAGCAACCAACCACACCACCAGUAGCUUACCCCGCAGCUCCUCGACAUCUCUCUCUCGACGCCAAAAACUCAAACCGACCUACCUCGCAUCUCUCUCCUGAAGCCCAAAACUCAAACCCUCACAACAAUCUUCUCCCUUCGCCGCCAACCAAACCCUAAACAACACCAUCCAUGAAGCCCUUCCGUUUUCCGCUUCAAACCCGUGCUAGACUUGAAAUCUCAACCACUUUGAAUCCCCAGCCAACAACCUCUUCUCGCUCGCCUCCCCUUCCUCUAUAUGAAAUUGAAGCCAUUUGUUUGAUUGGAAACAGAUUUGGGAAUUAGGGAUUUCAAUCCCUAAAAUUUCAGAUUUGGGAAUUGGAAAUGUUGAACGGUGAGCCACUAGAGGGCGUUAGUGCAGUUGGCGGCCAGAGGUGGGACACCAGCGCGUUGGGGAUGGUGAGGAGGAGGGUGGUGUUGGAGUAGAGGAAGGCGCGGACGAGGUUGGGGUCAGAGACGUCAAGGCGAAGGGUGGCGAGGCUGAGAGAAGUGAUGGUCGAGACCACGCGCUCCGAUAGCGGAGGGGUGGGGCAGGUGGCGACUGUGGAGGCGGAAUAGGUGACGCUGAUGGUGAUGGAUGAGGCGGCGUCCAGCGAGGUAGAGGAGGGUGAUGAGAGAAACGGCGGAGAGAGAAAAGUGGGAAGCCAUGGCUGGCUGAUGAGUUUUAAAUGUGAGAGAGAGAGAGAGAGAGGUGGGGUGUUAAAUGGAAUUUCCAGUUGAAAAAUAUGUCCAGUCAGCAACAUAACCACUGAUAUGGACGGCCACUUAACGGAUGGACCUAAUUGUGUGACAUUGGAUAGUUAAUGGAGUAAUCGAUUGAAAUUGAAAGUUAAUGGAGUAAACUGUCGAGUGCAUGAAAGUUAAUGGAGUGACCAGUAAUUUCUCCUUAAUAAUAUUUCUAAUAUUUUUGUUGUAUCUGUAGGUACAAGGAGUGGAAGAACGAGUUGCGGACCCACUGGACUACGCACGGGAACGCACGUUCUGGUACCCUUGCUGAGUUCCAGUACAGGGAGUACAACUGGCGUUGGCUUUUGACAUCAGAAUUCAACAACCCUCAUAAACAGGUAUUUAAAAAUUUAAUUAGUUAAUUUGUCAUUAAGUACGUCGGUUUUUAAAUAUUUUACUAAUAGUUUAUUUUUUUCUUUGAAGGCCGUUUCCCGAGCGAACGCUCAGAACCGGCAACGCAACACAAGGAACCAUCGUGCCGGUUCUAGACCGUUCGCUGUCUUCAUGGACGAGGCGGUCAAGGAACAUCCAGAAGUCAACCGGUACAUCUAUACGUACGAGAAGACAUAUCCUGACGCCCAGGAGGAUAUUGUAAGUCAUCUUACGUUUUUAAAUUUUUAAUUUUACUUAUAUAUAUGUCAAAAUGUGAAUUAAUCAUUUUUUUCCUAUUCAAUUAGGCGAAGGUGAGGGAGGCUAGUGACGAGGUGAUGAGUGCUAUAGUGAGGGAGACAUGGCUGGACACGCAGGAGGAAGAGAUGUCUGAAGCCAUGUCCUAGAUAGACACUUCAGAUCCGAGGGUUGGGGCGAGAAUCAUGGGCACAGCCUUUCCACCGCGAGGAAACAACUUCUACUGCCGGGGUCUAGGAAAGAAGGGCGAGGAGGUCCUGAAGACCACUCCAGGAUUUCAACAAAAGGUAGCCUCGACCAGCAGCAGGACGACUCAGGUAGAGUCGGAAGUUCGGAGACUACGGGAACAGCAAGCUGCUCAGGCUGCCUAUACUACCGCGGUAUAUGCCACCCAACAGGCCCAGCAGCAGCAAAUGUUCCAGUACUUGUAGGAGUUUACAGCUGCCCAACUUCAGGGACUUCCGGCUCCGCCCAUGCCUACGCCUAUACCGCUACCUCAGCCGCCAUAACCUCCUCCGCAGCAGCCCUCAGAAUUGGAUAUAGAUUUAGACGAUCUAGAUUUUGUGUAGUUGAUCAAUUAUAUAGUUUUAUGUGUUUGUUGUUGGUUGUAUGGAAUUGUUUUGGUGUAUUUUACAGCUUGCUUGGAAUGGUAAUUUAGAAAUUUCUGGUUUUUUAUAGCCGACGAAACACGCCAUAAUUCGUCGGCUAUAGUAUUUUUAAUUUUUUUUUAUAAGGUUUAGCCGACGAAUUAAGGCAUGUUUCGUCGGCUAAACCCUCCUAAAGCCGACGAAACAGACUAUAUUUCGUCGGCUAUAGUUAUUUUUUUAAUUUUUUAUUACAUACUUUAGCCGACGAAUAUCUUAAAUGUUUCGUCGGCUAAAGUCUCAGACUACGGUUGACGAAACAUUGAAUAUAUUCGUCGGCUUAAUUCUGGGACAAUAACCGACGACGUCUUUUUCGUCGGCUAAAGUCGCAGACUACGGUCGACGAAACAUUUAAGAUAUUCGUCGGCUAAAUUCUGGGACAAAAGCCGACGACAUUUUUUUCGUCGGCUAAACUCUGGGAUGAUAGCCAACGACGUCUUCUAGUUUCGUCGGCUAAAGUCAUUGUCGACGACUCUUUCCCGACGAAACCAUAGUUGACGAAUUAAGCUAACCACAACAUAUUGAACUAUGACAAGAAUCAAAACCACAACAUAUAAUAACAACUGAAACUCGAAUUAACAGAAAGAAGCUGAAAUUCUAAUCAGAGUUCCAAAAGCAUGCUCAUACUCUAAUACAUUCAAAAACAGAUUCACAGUAGCUAACAUUCAGAUCUCAAAAUAAACACUAAAAUCAAACAGACUUGGUUUCCACAUGAUUCAAAUCAGCAUUGUAAUUUAAAUUAGGCUCGGAAAUUACCGUCGGAGACGGAGAUCUAGCAGGCCGAGUCAUCGAAAUAGCAGGAAGGCCACUCCCGUCGUUAUUGGCGCUUGCUGGAGUAAGCAGACGGUGCAUGAGGUGCCGAGCAGGGAAUCGGUAACCAACGUCAUCAUCGUCAUCGUCGUCUUCAUCAGCAGUCGUCUGCGACGCCAUGACCUGCGCGCGGCGGCUUUGGCGGUGACGUUCUGGUUACGCUUAACGGUGGAGAUCGAAUCCAGUGACGGAAGGAUUGAGGCGCGACUGAGGAUGCGCCGGCGACAUCGCCGGAGAUGAGCCUGGGAUACUAGAGCCUCCGCUCCACUGCCACGCGUACACUGGACUCGCUUGUCUCCUCCGAUCCAUUAUGUUUGGAUUGUAGCUAUGUAUAUAUAGCUUUGUGGAUUUUCAGUGUGACAUAGUAGACGAAGCUAGAUUUUAUCGAAGGAAUCGAAGGGAAUAUAGGGAGGGGUGGACUUUGUGAGAGAGAGAGAGAGAGAGAGAGAGAGAGAGAGAGAGAGAGAGAGAGAGAGAGAGAGAGAGUAGUAA